rnacentral:lncRNA from 1 species
GGAAGCAGACCACAUCAAACAACUUUGUUUCUUCGAUCUCAUGCAAAGAGACAGAAUUACAUUUCUUCUGUUGAACAAAAGGGAUAUAUAUUUAUGGAUAUUGCUACCACAAGGCAUGAAUCAUGAAUAUGACCUUGUCGUACAGUUUGCUCAUGUGCACAUCAGCACAUACAUAUGUAACUAUCUAGAAGAACCAAGAAAGUAUAUAUUGGAUGCAUACAAAAAAAAAUUGAAGGGGAUUAAUCGCAAUGCGCAUGCACUUUAGCCGCUAGAGAAGUGUUUACAUACAUGCAUGCCAGAUUCUUUAGCUUUAUGGAUCACUUCUCAUUGAUGACGACGUCGUCGUCGUCGUUAAUCUCUCCAUGGAGCUUAGUAUCCUUGGAACUGAGGUGGUGGAGGUGAGGCGUACUGGUGCGCCAUCACCGGCGGUAAGAGUACAGUAGUGUCGAACGCCGGUGGAGCUUCAGCUUCCAUUGCUGGUGGAGGUUUAGAUUCCUUUGCAGGUGGAGCUUCAGCUUCCUUUGCUGGUGGCGGCAAUGACUCCUGUUUCGGUGGGGGGAGGGAGACCUGCGGAACUGGUGGGGGAAGAGGCUUCACCGCUGGUGGUGGUAGGCUGACUGGUGCUGGUGGGGGAAGAGGCUUCACCGCUGGUGGUGGUAGGCUGACUGGUGCUGGUGGGGGAAGUGACUUCACGACGGGUGGUGGUAGGCUGACCGGUGCUGGUGGGGGAAGCGACUUCACCGGUGGUGGUGGUAGGCUGACCGGUGCCGGUGGGGGAAGAGACUUCACCGCUGGUGGUGACAAGAUCACAGGUGCUGCUGGUGGUGGUGACUUCUCUGGAGGUGGUGGCGAGAUGACCGGUGCAGGUGGAGGUGGAGACUUCACAGGUGGGGGUGGCAAGAUGACUGGUGCGGGAGGAGGUGGAGACUUCACAGGUGGGGGUGGCGAGAUGACCGGUGCUGGUGGUGGUGGAGACUUCACAGGAGGAGGUGGCAAGAUAACUGGUGCUGGUGGUGGUGGGGACUUAACUGGAGGAGGUGGCGAGAUGACUGGAGCCGGUGGGGGAGGAGAUUUAAUUGGAGGAGGCGGCAAGAUCACCGGAGCUGGCGGGGGUGGAGACUUCUCCGGAGGUGGCGGUGAGCUCACAGGAACCGGUGGGGGCAAAGGCUUAACUGUUGGAGGCGGCAAGCUCACUGUAGCCGGUGGAGGAAGAGACUUCUCAGUUGGUGGAGAUGAAGCCUUGGGGACUGAGGGAGGAGAUGAUUCCUCAGGAGUUGAUGGCGGGUAAGACUUCUCUGGUGUUUCUGGCGGGCUAAUUGGUUCAUGUGGAGGUGAAGACUUUGCUGGCGGUGGUUCCGAGGUCACUGGCACUUGCGGCGGUGAAGACUUUGUUGGUGGUGGUUCUGAGAUAACCGGUGCGUGUGGUGGUGAAGACUUCACUGGUGGAAGUACUGACUCAACUGGAGAUGGCGGUGGCUGGGACUUCUCGGCUGGUGGUGGACUUGAUUUCACUGGAGAUGGAGGCAUGUACUCUUCUUCCGAUGGUGGAGAACUAUUUAUUGUUGGUGUGUGUGGUGGUAGUGGCUUUUCUGGAGGUGGAGUUGAUUUCGCCGGAGAUGGAGGAACGUACUCCUCGUGAGAUGGUGGAGAGCUCUUUGGUGUUGGUGACGGUGGUGGUUCUGACUCCUCAGAUGGUGGGGAUGAGCUCUCCGGAGUAUGUGAUGGUGGGGACUUCUCUUCUGGAGGUGGAGUUGAUUUUGCCGGAGAUGGAGGAACGUACUCCUCGUGAGAUGGUGGAGAGCUCUUUGGUGUUGGUGUCGGUGGUGGUUCUGACUCCUUAGAUGGUGGGGAUGAGCUCUCCGGAGUAUGUGAUGGUGGGGACUUCCCUUCCGGAGGUGGAGAGAUCUCCGGUGUUAGCGUUGGUGGAGACUUUGUCUCUGGUGGUGGUGGAGACUUUUCAGGUGGUGGUGGUGAACUAACAUGAGCUUCUGGUGGUGGCGAGGAAGAUUUUUCUGGUGGUGGUGAGCUAACAUGAGCUUCUGGUGGUGGUGAGGAAGAUUUCACUGGGGAUGGUGGAGUGCCUUCAUGACCCGAUGGUGGUGAUGGAGAUUUUUCCGGAGUUGGCGGAGAACUCUCUUCAGCUGGUGUUGGAGGUGACUUCUCCGAGGGAGGUGGAGAAGUUGGGUGAGCCUCUGAUGGUGGUGACUUUUCUGGGGAAUGUGGUGGAGGAGACUUCUCUUCUGGUGGCGAUGACUUUGGUGGGGAAGGUGUGUAUUCCUCUGGAGUUGGAGGUGAUGUAUGCGAGGUCGGCGGUAUAGGAGGAGACUUCUCUUCUGGUGGUGAUGACUUUGGUGGGGAAGGUGUGUGGCCCUCCGGAGCGGGUGGUGGUGGAGAUGAGGCUUCCGACUCAGGCGUGGGAGGAGACUUCUCAACUGGUGGCGUCGACUUUGGCGGGGAAGGCAUGUGGCCCUCUGGAGCGGGUGGUGGUGGAGAGGAGGAUUCCGACUCAGGUGUAGGAGGAGACUUCUCAGUUGGCGGUGUCGACUUUGGCGGGGAAGGUGUGUGGCCCUCUGGAGUGGGUGGUGGUGGAGAUGAGGCUUUCGACUCGGGUGUAGGAGGAGAUUUCUCAGAUGGUGGUGUCGACUCUGGCGGGGAAGGUGUGUGGCCCUCUGGAGCGGGUGGUGGUGGAGAUGAGGCUUUCGACUCAGGUGUAGGAGGAGACUUCUCAGCUGGUGGUGUCGAUUUUGGCGGGGAAGGUGUGUAUUCUUCUGGAGUCGGUGGAGGCGAGGCUUUUGACUCAGGUGUAGGAGGAGACUCCCCAGCAGGUGGUCCCGACUUUGGUGGGGAAGGUGUGUGGCCCUCUGGUACCGGUGGUGGCGAGUGCGAGGCCGUCGGCGUAGGAGGGGACUUCCCUUCAGGUGGUGGCGAGCUCUCUGGAGUUGCAGGUGGGGAGUACUCAGUAGGAGGCUCCGCUUGUGGCGGAGGUGCCUUCUUGCGCUCGGGACUCUUGGGGAGCCAACCCGAACUUGGUGGCGGUGGAGCACCAUACUCUGCCGGCGGCGAUGUCACUCCCUUGAUGGCGGGUGCCGGAGGCGGCGCCAUCUUGGCCGGUGACUCUGGGCUGCUUGGUGUCGGCGACGGUGUUGGUUCCUCGGGUGGUUCCUCAGGUGACUCCUCCUCUGGAGGUGGCGGGCCGUGCGACGUCGGGGUGGAAGGCGCGGCCGGUGGUUCCUCGUAAGCCGGCGAUUUCUCCGGCGGCCCCACCGGCACCGGGAUGAGCGGCGGCUUCUCCGGCGGCUCCGACGGCUUCCCGGGCGUCGGGUGUCCGGGGCAGACGUGCUUGCUGCAGUCGACGGGGCGGGCGAGCACGGGGGCGCACUGCAGCGUCGUCUUCUGCGCCGGUCGGAGCGCGCCGAGGCAGUUGUCCUUGUCGUCGAGGUUGACCUUGCUGCUCUCCGACGGCAUGCACGGCGCCGACUCGGAGUUGAAGAAGUUGUAGGCGAAGCUGAAGUUGACGAGCACGGGGAGCUCGCAGAUGGACUCGUGGACGAUGCCGGUGAAGACGUUCCUGGACACGUCCAGCUGCUCCAGCUUGCUGCAGUUGGAGAGCGAGGUGGGCAGCGUGCCGACGAGGACGUUGCCGCUGAUGUCGAUGACGUAGGUGUUCUGCAGGUAGCCCAUCUCCAUGGGCACGCAGCCGUCGAGCUUGUUGUUCAUGAAGCUGAUCUCGUCGAGCGUUUUGGCCAUGCAGCCGAUGCUCUUGGGGAUGCAGCCGACGAAGGCGUUGUUGGCGAAGACGAUGACGGAGGCGGUGGAGUUGCCGAGGUUGCCCGGGAUGUAGCCGACGAAUCGGUUGCUGUUGACGAAGAUGGCGUCGAGCUCCUUGUCGAACAGCGCCGGCGGCAGCUCGCCCUCGAAGUCGUUGAAGCGGAUGUCGAGGUACUUGAGCACGGCCAUCUCGAGGCAGACGUGGGGGAAGACGCCGACGAAGCGGUUGUGGCUGACGUCGAACUCGUGCAGCAGCGACAGCCUCGACAUGCUCUUGGGGAUGAUGCCGCAGAAGCGGUUGGUGUUGAUGUGGAAGAAGGCGAGGUCGGUGAGGAGGCCGAGCUCCGGCGGGAGGUACCCGGCGAUGUCGGCGCCGUUGAGGUCGAUGCCGGCGACCACCAUGAUCUUGGGGUCGUCGAUGGCGGCGUAGCAGAUGACGCCGUUGUAGGAGCACACGUCGUUGCCCGUCCAGUUGUUGGUGUACCCCUUGGGGUCCGAGUAGAACGCGCGCCGCCACGCCUGGAGCGCGAUGUACGCCUUGCGGAGCCGCGGGUUCGGGAAGUCGCCGACGGCGACUCCGACGCGGUCGUCGAAGUCGAAGUCAUCGGACGGCAGGUCGCCCUCCUCGCUCACGCCGGCCUCCUUCAUCGCCAGCAGCUGCCGGUGCGCGAUGUACGACACCUCGGCGCUGGUCACCGCGCCGACGUUGGCGGCGGAGGAGAGGCAGGCGGCGAGGACGGCGAGAAUCAGUGCCAUGGCGGCGCGGCGCCCGCCGGGGGCGAGGAGGAGCCGGAGGUCCAUGGCGAAGGUGGUGGGGUGUGGGUCGAUGGAAUGGAGAGGCGUGGAGAUGGUGGAUAUAUGGGCGAGCCCCCUGCCCCGCCAUGGGCGACGAUGGGUGGUGGCCGGCGACGCCGCGCGCUGCGGGCGCGGGUGUCGCGUCGCGUCGCGUUGGCUUGGCUUCGGUUGGCUCCGCUGUUUUGGCGCGAGGUAGGAGAAGCUGUCUCUCUGGUUUGUUUGACCAUCUCAUAUUUACUAUUUUUACUGCUAUGUGUUUUUCUCAAUCUCUCUCUCUCUUUUUCUUCUAAUUACAAAUCGAGCUGAUUGAUAAAUACAGUUCUAACUUCCUACUAUUGAUACCAAGAAGAUUAUGUGUGUCUGUUCUACUUACUAGUAUACUACUGCUCACCUCUGUUUUUUUUUUAACAUUUUCACGGGAUAAGUCAACUGUUAAUUGGUUGUUUUUAAAUAAUGGAUUAUCCGGCCUUUACUGGAUGCUAAUUGCAUGAUAAUUUGCUUAUACUUUAGCCAGGGAUGAAAAUGGCCACGAAAAUGCCAGAUCGAUCCAACGGGGUUUGAGCAUGGCUGUUACCGUUUCCAACUGUUUCCGUUUGUAGACAUAUAUAAAUUUUGUUUUUUCUGUAAUUUUUUUCAACGUCGAAUUAGCGUUGUUACUAAAUAAUUAAAUUGAUAAACAUGGUUAGCUCUCGUCCCACCAUGAAUCGUUUUCAAAGAGAUGUUACCAACUCCGACCAUUUUUUCCCUAUUUUUAGCCGCAUGGUCGAUUACAUCAACUCAAAUACAAUUCUAAUAAUAACUUCCUACAAAUAUGUUUUUCUCCAAAGAUAGAUGUAUUUGCAAUAAACACAAAUCCUAUGACUUACUUUAUGUAAAUUGGAGGAUAACCAGAAGUGACAUUUGUCUCUCAGGAACCCAGGGCACAACACAAAUUAAAUUAGGCGAUCAUUUGGAUAUAAAUUGAAUGAGAACAGAGCAGCCAAUGGACUACUCAUGCUCAAGAAACCAAACAACCAACAUAAAUACAGAGUCGGACCAGAUCUAUCAUCACAUUCUACAUUUCUACAUGCACAUAGUGCUUGCCUAGCUUGCUGGGGCAACUGAAAACUUAGGGAAGAUGCAUGUUUUGGUGACUCAUGUAAGCAUCAUGUCUUGCAACCAUGGGCAAGAGAGGCAUCAGGAAUGCAGCUUCCCGGGUCAUCCUAUGCUGUAGUGCUGUCGUUAACGGUAGAGGUUUGGAAAACCGACGAUAUCUAACGGGAUAGCGGUAUGAAUGUGUUUGAUCCACCAUCACAUCACAUGAUCAUCGGUGAGCAUACAGCGAUGGCGGAGCUGGACCUUCUUGCACUAUUAGUUCCGGAGUCCUACCAUGAUCACGAUCUGUUAGUUUUCUUGACUUGACACUGGAUCGAAUGCUAGGCUGUUUUGCGGAAGCUAGAGGCAAAUCGAGAAAGAUUACUGCUGGGGGCCAGAUUGGUAAGAAAUGGCAAAUGAUAUCUUCAACUCGUAGUUUGGCUGGGGGACGGGAAUCAGAAGAUUGGGAGACUGAAGAUCAUACCUGAUGCUGGCUGUUUUUGGAUAAUCUGGGCGCGAGAUGAAGACAAAUGUCAUCCUGGUUAGCUUUUUGGCUGGGUUCAGUGAUCAAGACUAUAAGAGGGGUGGCCUGCAUCAGUAACUGUCUGUGUUCCUAUUGUCUGUCCAGACCCUCUAUGCCUAUCUCUCUCUCUUGCUGUAUUUUGUUUUUUUAGUGAUCUUUCUCCUUUCAUGUAAGAACUCUAUGAAUCAUUUCUGGUAAUGGAAACGGGGGCCAUGCAGCCCUUGAUAAAAAAAAAAGCAUAUGAUCACGAUCUGUGUGGUGAAAACUUCUGUUAUUGUCGCAAACAAGGGUUUGUGCUUUGUUAUCCUAACCACUAUAAAAUGGAAAGAAAUAUUUCUUUGGUUACUGCUAACCUAUUUGUUAUGCGGACGAUAGUGAUCGAUUGGUUAUAUGUCCAAUAUUCUCCCAAUUCCACAUGAUGUAUAUAGCAGGGAUUGCAAUUUCGGAAUGAAAAUUUUGCCCCCACCGACAAGCACAUAUCUUGCUCAAAUUUUUCGGACUUUUUUCCAUUCCUUUUUGAAUUUGGUCAAAUUUAUUCAAAUUCAUUUAAAAUUUGUCAAAUUUUCAAAUAAUUUCGGGAAAAAAACACCGAAAUUAUCGAAAGUUCAGUGCCCACUAAAAUUCUGAAAUUUUGCUGGAAAACUGAAGUGUAAACCCUAGUAUAUACUAUAUAGUUAAUUAGUAGCCAUUCUGAUUUGGGAAGGUACUUUAAGCAGUACCGAACAAAGUUUGUCUGAAUUGUACAUGGUUUUGAUGAUUUGGGAGGCACAAGUUUAUCCACAUGAUCAUAUCAUCCCAAAUACAAUUCUAACUUUCUAUGAUACAAAAUAAGAUUAUGUACACAGAUUGAUUUACUUACAAAAUAAAUCCUAAGAUUUACUCGAUAUAAAUUGGAGUAAUCAAAAGUGACAUGUCUGUCAUGACCCAGGACAAAUUAAAUUAGGGAUCGAUUGGAUAUAAAUAGGAGCAGAAGAGAGCAACCAAUGAAGUAUUCCACGCUCAAGAAAAUAAACAAAGCAACAGCCAAAUGUACAGAUGAGCAAGAUCAUCACAUUCAUGUAUAAUAUAAUACACGAACGAUGCUUCUUGCCUAACUAUAUAUGCAGACUCAUGUAGUGAGCAUUCGUUGCACUACCGUUGGCCUUGAGAGGCAUCCGGAAUACAACCUGCUGGGUCGCCCUAUGUUGUAGUGCAGUGAAUUUUGGAAAACGCUGAUGGAAUGAAGUUGAAGGAUCUAUGGAUGAGUGUGUGAUCCGUCCUGCGCUGGUCGUUACUUCCAGCAAACAUGGUAUGAUGACAGAUCCAUCCAUGAACUCUUGCCUUCCCUGUUCCAGAUAUCCUUUGAUACCGGCUACCAACAGGCAGGGUUUGUGUUUUGUCCUAAGCACUGGAAAACAGAAACAUAUGCUUGUACUAUCUGUCCAGCUAACCUGUUUGUGCCAACAAUUGUGAAAAUCUCCUAGCCUUUCCACAUGGGAACUGUACAUGCUUGUUCAUGUUCUGCAUGAUUUGGGAAGAAUAUCAAAUUCUAUUAAAUUACACCAUGGUUUUCCUUUCUUGAUAUGUGUGUUGAUGUGCCUACUGCCUAGUGCUAAUUGAUAUAGCAUGGUAUUUUCCAUAUAAAUUCAGAUUCAGGCUUUGCACCUUAACACUUUGGCAGUGUAGUUUUGGAGAGAGGACAUAUAAAUCAGAUAAAUAUGUUUCCUGUUAUCUUAAUGGAAACCUCUCUAUGAUCCAUAUAUGCUUAUCAUGCAUUCCAUCACCUUUUUUUUUCUUUGAGAACUACAUGCACAUCAACUGAGGGGUGAUUGAGAAUGUGAGGCAUCUGGAAUCCAGUUUUGUCAUAUUUGGUCCUAAGCACUGCUUGCUCGAUGUGAGGCUGCAUGCAUACUGGUAUGGUAUGUCUAUUAGACCACUCUGCUUCGACUCGGCCAGCAGAGGAAUGGGGACAUCUGAGACAACUAAAAACAGGGAAAUAUCUUUUGGAAUCGUCCAGCGUUUGAGCUAGUGUAAGGUCGAGGAGUUUAGCUUACUUUUCUUUUUAGCCAUUUGAAAGAACUAGGCGUUUGCAUGACGGAUAUUUGUUAAGCAGAAAACUUCCGACCUUCCGAUCUUUUUUUUAAGAUAAUGGAUAAAAUCGAUCCGGUCUUUACUUUAGCAAAAGUUAUAAUUACAUACCCUCUCUGUCCAAAAAAAAAUCAACUUAUAUGAAUAUAGGUCACAUCUCCUUCUAUGUUGAUUUUUUUUUGAUAGAGAGCGUACUACAUAAUUCUUGGCUAAAAACCAAGUAUAACAAUUUCUAACAAUGGAUAAAGAGACGACACGAUAAUAAACCAUAUUUUAACAUAAAGUGGGGUUUUCACUUUUUCUUUAAGAAAAGGAUGGGUUUUCAAAGAAUAGCAUUAUAGACGCAGCAUCAUCUAUCAUGGUGGAAAUUAAUUCUCUCAGUCGCCUCAUUAACUAUACAUUGGGGUUAAUCAACUAAUCUAUACCUAAAAAAAUACAUAAGGUUUCCGGUAUUUUUUUCGUCCGUCACUUUUUUCGCUAUUUUUUUCUUCCUUUCGUCCGUCACUUUUUCCGCUGUUUUUUUUCUUUUUUUCGUCGUUUUUUUUUUCUUUUUUUCUUCUGUCUGCCCUUUUCUUUUUUCUUUUUUUUCCCAUCCGCCUUUUCUCUUCUGUCUUUUUUUUUCGCCCUUUUUUCGUCUUUUUUUAGUUGCAUUUUUUCCCACGCCACGCGUUAGGGAUUCGUUUUUUUAUGUGGCCGGUUUUCUUAGUCGGGCCGAACUCGCGCUGUAGCUAUAUACCUCCUUAUGCGUGAUCAGUUCCAACAUUGUCGUGUCUUUCAUAGAUUGAAGACGGCUGGGCCUACAGUUUCACUUAUGAGCUAGGUCAAAGAGAGGCAAGCCAAGUAGACACUUGUGGACUAGCAAACACUUGUGGACUAGGUUAAAGAGAGGCAGGCCAAGCAGAUGGAUGCAGUGGGCUGGGCUAGGACUGAAAGUAUGCGAUCCAAAAAUUGCUUUUAUCUAUUGCAACGCACGGACAUUUUUUCUAGUCUCGAUUGAAUUAACGAAGAACAAUUUGUAGUAUUACGCGUCUUUGUACUGUUUAGGAUAGUAGACAAUAUGCUACAAGUGAAAUCAAGAACAUAUCCGCAGUAGGCCAUAAAAUUUACUUAAUUGGUCUGGUCCUUUACAUCAGUAUCUAAAAACAACAAAGUGAUGCUAGCUACUACACUCUGCACCGUGCCAAUUAAUUUUGCUCCUGAUCGAAUAACAAUAACUCAAUCCAUGUGCUCUUCAUAAUCCAUGCAUAUAUAUACCGAGAACCAUCAGAAGCCAUGACACAUGAUGUAACCAUCACACACUGCAUAUAAGUUGAGGCAUUGCAACUUAAUUAGCAAUUUAUUGGCAGUGUAGUUUGGAGAGAUGGCAGAUCACAUAGACAUAUAUAUGGUUUCUUUGGGAGGAGCUUGUUUACUGCAAUCCUAGUAGAGACCAAAUUAACGAGUAGUACUAAUCAAGGUAAUCAUGCAUGAAAACCUUGGGGGCAAUUGAGCAUGUGGGGCAUCUGCAAUCCAGUUUUGUCGACACUGUCAUUAACAACUGUUUGAUGAUCGAUGUGAGCUUGAACCCCAGUAUCAAUGCGUGGUUAUUUUGUGCUACAUAAAACCCCCACAAAUAUGAAACAGUGAUUGGAGAAUGAAAUUUGAACUAGUGUUAAAUUAAACCAGCUAUAUUUCAUAGGAAGUUGGGAUGUCUCGUACGUUUGUCUCAUAGAACACUAUGCUUCAGCAGGUUGGACAAGGGAAGAGUGGAGGAGACAUGCGGAUCCAGCUUAAAACGUUGAUACAUAUGUUGUCUGGAAUUUUGACCUUGGAAGGAAUUUAGCUCAAUUUUCUUUUAUCCGUUGAAAAGUGUGCUCUCGUUGGUAAUGAGUUUAUUGAUGGCACCUGAUAAUAUGCUGAUUUUAUUUGUUGGGAUGGUAAUCCAAGCUAAUCUUACUCUUAAUCAUCUUUCAAUAUAAGCUGUUUUUUUUUUAAAAAAAGAAAUGACGAAAUUUCAAAGAAAUAGCAUUAUAGUCGCAGAACACUUCGAUCAUAGUGACCAGUGAUCGAGUCAAAUAAACUUCUCCGGCCCACUUAAUUAACUAGAUAUGGGGUUAAUUACCCAAUCCAUAUUGAGUGAUGAAGAAAUUUAGGUACCAAGCAUUUUCUUUAGAACAAAUUAAACAUGAGUAUUAGCUAGAAUUAUUCUAGGAUAAAAAAACCCAUGCUAGUCCUUCGAGUUGCAACAAAAAAUAUGGGUCCCACAUGUCGAGAGAGGCCCAUCACAACCAUUGGUAGUGAUCUAUCUAGGCCCAAUUUACUUCCUCCGCGCAUAAGGUUUCCACAUAUUCCUCUCACACAUAAGGUGUCUAUGGGCCCAAACUUUUGGCCCUUUAUCGGGAGGGUCUAGAAAAGCCACUAACCUCGAGUGGGUCCAUAGUACCAGCAAGAAUUGAGUCGAUGCCAUUAGUAUGUUGUGAUCCAAUUUGAACUGUUCAUACUAGGCUCGGAAGCUUAAUUGGACCUAUCUACUCAAUAGGGAGGAUAGCCCGUCACAUACCUGGUGCAAAGGAUUGAAUAAAACUAGAGGGAAUAGAGCAACCAUGAAGUAUCCCGGUUCCCAGGAAACUAUAAUAUUAUAGACAUAUCGUGCAUUUUAGAUAUAGGUGGUUCAACUGACAUAAUUAUUUUAGCACCUUAAAUAUAAGAAGACAAUACACAAUAAAAGUAUAUAAUUGAUCAAAAGUGCAUCAUGAUAUACUCCCUCCGUUUCUAAAUAUUUGACACUGUUAACUUUUUAGCACAUGUUUGACCGUUUGUCUUAUUCAAAAACUUUUGUGAAAUAUUUAAAAAUAUACAUCUAUAUGUAUAUAUAUAAGUAUAUUUAACAAUGAAUCAAUUGAUAGGAAAAGAAUUAAUAAUUACUUAAAUUUUUUGAAUAAGACGAACGGUCAAGCAUAUUUAAAAAAGUCAACGGCAUCAAAUAUUUAGAAACGGGGGAGUAUUAAUAAGCAACGUGCUAAUUGACACUCGGGAUUUUUUUUAUUGUUUCUCUUUCUAAGAAUAUAUUUUUCUCUUUUACUUAUAUGGGUUUUUGGUUACGCAAUUUAUUUUUGGAUGGUCACAGGACCACAUGGACCACCCACUAGAUACGCCGAUCAGCCUAUGUAUAGCAACCAACAAGAGAACGUAGAGAUGGACAAGAUCAUGACAUUCAUAGAGCCAUAGAUACAUGCAUGUGGUGCUUCUUGCCUGGAGUAUGAGUGUAGCAGUAGCAUAGGGAUGUGUUUGGUGACUCAUGUAGCAGGCAACAUGUCUUGAAACCGUGGGCAUGAGAGGCAACAGGGAUCCAGCUAUGUGACUCAUCCUAUGGAGAGGCACAGUGAUUUGUCUUUAGAGUUUCGAAAAAAGAGAAUCCACUCAGUACUACUGAGUUUAUCGCACUUCUACAAUCUACCACUGAAACGGGCUAGCAGGAUUAAUGAGUGUGUAUUCUGUGUAUCGACAUCGUGAUCAACAACCAUGAACGAUGACAGAGUUGUACAUUUUUUCUCACCUUCUCUGCUGAUCUACAUGUCGCACCAAACUCAUAGUUUCUUAACUAAGCACUUUAAAACAUAACCAGUUAGUACUGCUUCUGUUUAAAUUAUUUGGCUACCGCUAACCUAUUCAUUGUACAAGUGAUCGAUGGUGAAUGAUUGAUUAUAUGUACAACUACGACUACCAGAAACUGAAAUUCUCCUGACGGUCGCUAAUCUUUUACUGACGUGUAUGCAUCCACCUAUCAGUUUUAGCCGUAAGAAGUAUUAGUACGUAGCUUAUGGGAUAUAUUUUCUAUUUAUGUACCCACAGUAAUUUGAUUGUGAUGUAGCUUUACGAUAAAAGUAAAAAAACAAAUUAGUUUGAACUAUAGUGCAUGUUUGUUGAUGUGUUGUGCCGUGUUCGGGAAGAAUGCCAUGCAUAUUCUCACUACGCUGGACCCUCCCACCAUUGACGGGCCCAUGUCAUCACCUUUGACGGAUUUAGCCCUCGUCAGAGAUUAGUGAUCACUGAUGACUGCACCUCACCUCUGACGGGUGAAAAGCCGUCAGUGGUGAUUAACACCUUUGACGGGCCACAUAGAAAUAGCCCGUCACAGGUGAGAAUCACUGUGACGGGUGACUCUUUCCAGCCCGUCAAAGGUGACAUAUACCUCUGACAGGUCUAAUUUAUCACCCGUCACAGGUGUGAAAAAUCAUCCAAAAAAAAAAAUUCAAAAGCCCUCAGCCCUCAGCCACCAGCCCCCAGCUCACGACAUGAAGCAAAAGAUGCAAGAUUCAUCUCAAGAUGCAAGACAACAACUUUGCAUUUUAUUGGCAGAUCUGAUAACAUCAGAGAAACAAUAUAGAUCACACAACUUAAGUAACAAUAUAUAUCACAGUAGUAAUGAUCUGCAUCUUAACAAACUAGACAUCCACACAAACAACACAGAAUAUGGCCCAAUCUAAAAUUUGGCAAUGAACAUUUGCAAGAUAAGAAAAAUCAAGCACAACCUACAAGAGUCAGAAAUGGCGGUGGCGCUCGUGGGUGAAGGAGACGGUGGAGGACGCCGAUGGUCGGGGGGAGAGGGCGUGGACACCGGCGGUUGGGGGAUGGAGGCUGCGGUAGCCAGAUCCACGUACCAGAACCCCGUGGAGGCCGGAUCCAGUGGCGGCUGUUGGGUGGGCGUUGGAAGGCGACGCGGGCGGAUCCGAGGUUUGUGGGCGUAGAAGCUGGUGGCGCCGUCGAUGGAGGCGGUCGCUCGUCGUCUUCAUCGCAGCCGCCGUCAACAUCGUCGUCGUCGUUGUCGCAGCUACCGCCACCAUGGCCGCUCGCUCCUGCCUGCCUAAGCCCGCCGCCGCCACUCCCGAGGGCGGAGACGGGCAGAUCUGCUGCCUCCCGAGCCACCGCCGCCUCCCCUCCCGUCGGAUCUGGCGGAGGGGAGGGCGCCACCGCUGCCGCCGUCGGGCCGCCACCGCCUCCCUUCCCUCAGUCGGGCCUCCAGAUCUGGCGGAGGGAAGGCGCUCCCACCAUCCACGCCGUUGCACCUCCACGCCGUCCGCCACCACCACGCCUCCCUUCCCGCGCCUCCCCUCUCGCCCCUGCCGGAUCUGACGGGAUGGCGCCGCCGCCCCUGCCAGGCAGGCGCCGGCGCCGCUGCUACACGCACAGAAAUGGAGAAAGGGAGAGAGAACUCGAGAGAAAUGGAGAAAGAGAGAGAGAAAACAACCUUAUCUCUUCUGAGUGUGGGCCCCGCCAGGAGAAGAAAUAUCUUCUCCAACUCGGCUUGGGAAGGUAGGUGACGGCUUCGAGUAUAUAUAGUGGGAUAACUCACCUCAAACGGUUUAGGGUUUGAACCCGUUUGAGGUGAGUAAACCUCACCUCUGACGGGCCAUCCGGUUGCAACUCGUCACAGGUAACUAGUCACCUGUGAUGGACCGGAAGUAGAAACCGUCAGAGGUGAGGAUUAACUCACUUUUGACGGGUUCCGUUUUCGACCCGUCACAGGUGACUAGUUACCUGUGAUGGGUCGCAGCUGAAUAGCUCACCGAUGACGGAAUCUUUUAGAACCCGUCAAAGGUGACCAUCAUCACUGACUACCACUUAUGCCCGUCACAGAUAUGUCGUCACAGGUGUGAGGAUCUGGUGUAGUGUCUAUUCAACUGCACAUGAUUUCCUUGUUUAGUUUGAUGAUUGGUGCUAAUUAAUCUGGUAUUCCAGAUCACAAAACUCCAUUCAAAAUAGAUAACUACCACUCUGUACCGUGGAUAUAUGCUCAUGAAGAAUCUCAAUCCAUGUGUCCUCCAUAAUUCAUAUAUAAAGAGAAUUGUCAGAAGCCAUUACAGUUGACAUGUGAUGUAGCCACCACAGUACCACACACUGCAUAUAAAUUCAGGCCCUAUUUAGAUUCCAACCUUUUGCUUCAAACUUUCAACUUUUCCGUCACAUUGAACUUUUCUACACACACAAACUUUCAACUUUUCCGUCACAUCGUUCCAAUUUCUUCAAAUUUCCAAUUUUGGCGUGGAAAUAAACGCAGCCUCAGGCAUUGCACCUUAGCACUUGGGCAGUGCAGUGAUGUUAUAUAUAUCACAGAGACAUAUGCACACCAUGGGGAAAAUUGAGAAUGUGAGGCGUCCGGAAUUCAGUAUUGUCAACGUUGGCCUUAAACAUUGUGAGCUUGAUGUGAGGUUGCAUAUGAAUUUUGGAUGUCUUGUUCAAGUCUAUUACAGCACUCCGCCUCAGGUAGAAGACAAGUGGAGACAUCUGAGAUGCAACAGUUUUAUUUUAGACCUCCUUUGGGACGUAGUAUUUGAAAAACACAAAAAUGGGAUAAAUGCACGAAUAUGAUGUCAUGCAUUAUUGCAUCCCAAAGGAAAAAAGUCCAGAGGCAUUUGCAAAACAUUUUUUUAACCCGAUAGGAAAAAACAUAGGAAUUCUAGAGACAACUAGGGGAAACCAUGAGUUAAGACCUAAUGUUAGUUUUCCUCCAAAACACCAUGAAAUAGCCCUUUUCAUAGGAAUUUUGAAGGAAUUUUUCAGAGCUAUAUAUUUCUUUGUUCUAAAAGGAUCAUAUAAGAAUUUUUUCCCUAGGAAUUAAAUCCUCUAGUUUUCCUUUGUUCCAAAGAAGUUCUUACCGUUAAAAAAAGUUAGGCACUUGAUGGUAUGCUGAGUAACUUGUUAAGCUGAUAACUCAACCGAUAAUCUUGUACUCUUAGCUUUCAGUACAAGGUCGGGCUUUUUUCUUUCUUUCUUUCUUUCUUUCUUUCUUUUUUUUAAUAGAUGAUUUAAAAGAAAAUUUGGGUGCACCAUAUAUUGAUCGUAGUGAAACUUCUCCCCACAACUUAGUUAACUAUAUCGGGGUUAAUUACUAGAGCAAUAUUGUGCUCUCUACUGAUAGUAUAAUACUACUAGUAGUAUUAAGGAUAAAUCAAUAAUUUACUAAUACAAUCGUUAGGGGUAACUUCGUUAUUUAUGUUUUUAAUUUUCCGGCUAGAUCGAUAUGUGGUUAUCCAUUGCACUGACAUCGCUCAUAUUCCAUCAAAAAGCCAAAAUAUAAGGAAAAAAGUUUAGUUCACUGCUAAACGAUGAUUAUACCCCCUCCACAUCAUUUUUUUUGACAACCUUCACCUUUCUACUACCGUUAAUUAGGGUGGUAGUAUAAAUAGAUCUGAACCCUUCAAUCAAAUAAAAUUAACGGUUCAGAUUACUUUCUACUACCAGUAGAGAGUAUCGUACUGGGGUUAUAAUUACUAAUAUCUAGAUUGAAAUAAUGAACAACAACUUAAUUAAAGUAUAGUUCUAAGCAUCUUUCUACUGUUUAUGACAGUAAAUUAUUUGCUAGAACUAAUAUAGGAUCCAGAAAAGAUAUAUCCACACCGGGCGUAAAAUUUUUUUUUGACUGGACACCGGGCGUAAAUUUACUUAAAUGGUCAUUCACAUUACAGCUAAAAAUAAUAAAGUGAUGCUAUUACCAAUACAAUAGCAGCCAUACUGGAUGCUCAAGUUGCCCAUUUUUGAAAUUUUUAUAACUUAUCCGAUUAUAAUAUAAAUUGGAGUACCCCUGGACCAAAAAACUAAACCACCAACAGUCCAAUGUAGAGAUGGACAAGAGCAUCUGUCACAUUAAUAUAUACAUGCUCCUACCUUGUUGGGCAACUGUGCAUGUGUUGGCGAUUCAUGUAGCAAAUCAGCAAGUGUAGUGUGUUGCACAUUGGGAGUGAGAGGCAUCUGGAAUCCAGCUACAUUGGGCAAGGAAAGGACUGGUGCGGUGCAGUGGCUUUCUUUUACAUUUUGGAAAAUUCAGAUGUAGAGAACGGGAUGACAUGAUGCGUAAGCGUUUUGUCCGGCCUUCAGCUCGUCAUCAGUAGACAUGGAACGAUGGCUGAUCUGAUAUAUCUAAUCUCGCUCUAACUGUUACAUCUAGAUUGUACAUGGAAACUGACAGUUACAUGUUUGUUGAAAUUCUGCACGAUUUCGGAAGAAUGUCGAAUUUUCCUCCACCACAGAUGAUUUCGUUGAUCUGUUUGAUGCUUGUGCCUAUCAAUAUAGCCUGGCAUUUUACAGCUCAUUAAAACACCAUUGAAAAGUAUUAACCGCCACUCCGUACUAUGGCAAUUUAAUUGACUCAUGAAUAUGAAUCCAUUUGCUCCCUGUAGUCCAUAUAUAUACAGAACAAACAAGACAAGCCAUGACGUACACAUGAUGCAACCAUCAUAUCACACUGCACAUAAAUUCAGUCAUUAACUUCACCCCGAUUUACAUUUUUGUAGGCGGCUAUUUGGCUCUAAGGGCUAUGUCCGCCUGCGAAAAUAAAUACCCAACGUUGACGAAAAUGCUUUUUCUAGUAGUGCCUCUUGGCUCUCAAACUUUGAUAUCAUUUCAAUUGUAUUAAGGUUGGCAAUUUUAUUUUAUAUUUUUUCAUAAUUACUUGACUGAGAUUUGCGGAGUGAGAAAUGCAUGAGGCCCUAUUAUUAAAUUAAUUUUAGCAAUCCACUAGAUAUAAAUUAAGUGGAGCAGAAGAGAGCAACAACGCUGUACCAACUAACAGCCAAAAUGUAGAGAUGGACAAGGUCAUCACAUCCAUAUAUGCAUUAACAAUUUUGCUUAUAUAUUCUUGCCUAACUAGCUAGCUGAGCAACUGAUCCAAAAACCAUGGAUGUUUUGGCGACUCAUAUGUAGCAGCAGCAAUGCAUGUGUUUGCAGCUUGGGCAUGAGACGCAUCCAGAAUGCAGCUAUACCUGUGAAGCCAUGCUGUAGUGCAGCCGAUCGUGCUGAGAGUUUGGGAAACGGCAAUGGAAUAGGAUAGUGGGAUGAAUGAGUUUGUGGUCACUAAUUUUCUGGUUAUCAGCAAACAUGAAACAAUGGCAUCAUCAGUCUCCCUUGCAUUUUCUGUUAAUUAUAUAGUCCUGCCACGAGUGAGGUGAAAUUCAGUUAUUUGUCACAAAGGAAUUGCAUUUUUGUCCUAUAACCACUAUAACAACGCAUCUAAUUUUUUGGUUGCUGCUAACCUGUUUAUUGCGUAAUCGAUGGUGAUCUAUCGAUUACGCAUGCUCUUGUCCGAUGUUCUUCCGAUUCCGAAUUGAAUGGUGUAUAUAAUUAAUUACUAGAAAUUUGGAUAUGAGAAGGUACUUGAGUACUGAUGAACACAAUUUUGCUUGAAACUGUACAUGGUUGAUGAUGUUCCGCUUCAUUUGGGCAUGCCAAAUUGUACUCAAGUACACAUGAUUCCCUUGAUUUGUUUGAUGCUUUGUGCUAAUUAACACAUAACCUUGUCUUUUUUUUCCCAGUUGAUGAAAACGCCACUGAAAAGUAUUAGUAACUACUACUACCUCCGUUAAUUUAGAUAUGUGUGCUUAGAUUCAUUAACAUAUAUAUGAAUGUGGACAAUGCUAGAAAGUCUUAUAAUAUGAAACGGAGGAAGUAAUACUCAAUACUGUCCCAAUUUGGCCCAUGAAGAGAAAUAACUCAAUCCAUGUGCUCUCCAUAAUCCAUGUACACAAAGAACAAUCAUAAGCCAUGACACAUGAUGUAACCAUCACACUGCAUAUAAAUUCAGGAAUCGCAUAUCUUAGCACUUUGGCAGUGCAGUUUGGAGAGAUGGCAGAUCGCAGACAUGUAAGUAUAUGGUUUAUUUGGAAGGGGCUUGUUUACAAUCCUAGUAGAGAGACCAAAAACGAGUAGUACUAAAUUGAGCAUGUGGGGCAUCCGGAAUCCAUUUUUUCAAGGCUGUUCAUAUAACUACUCCCUCCGUUUCAUAUUGUAAGUCAUUCUACCAUUUCCCACAUUCAUAUUGAUGUUAAUGAAUCUAGAUAUAUAUAUCUAUCAAGAUUCAUUAACAUCAAUAUGGAUAUGGGAAAUGUUAGAAUGACUUACAUUGUGAAACGGAGGAAGUACCACUAUUUGAUUGAUGUAGGGUUGAACCUCUGUGUCAAUACGUGGCUUUUUUGUGCUCCGAAUAACCUCCACGAAGAUGAUAGACUGGACAAAGAAAUUUACCUUGUACUCUUAUUAAUCAGCUUCCCCACAAAAUAAAUAGCAUUGUAGGUACAGGUCACGUUGAUCAUAGUGAACCAAAUAAACUUCUCCAGAUCACUAGAUAUGGGGGAUUAAUUACCCGGUCUAGAUUGAGGAACAAUGAAGUACUAAGCAUUUUCUUUGACGAGAGAGGCCUCAUAACCAUAUCUAGGCCAAAUAAUUUACUUCCUCCAGGACCGCAGGACGGAUGCCUCACUUGUUACGGGCUGUCGAUGGACCGUCAAAGGUGAGAUCAUCUGUGAUGAACCCUUUGGUCUGUCACUGGUGGGUCAUCAAAGAUGAGCGGUUUUGUGUAGUGGUCCACAUAUAUAAUAGGCUAUUUAUGAGGUCAAAAAAUUUUGGCCUGUUAUCUAGAGGGCCCAAAAGUGCUAGUACCUCAAGUGGGUCCAUAGUACCAGCAAUAAUAGGAACGAUCCAAUCUAGACCAUUUAUAUUGGGCUUCGGAGCUUUGGCCCUAUCUGUCCCAUAGAGUGGUUGGCUUGUAACUUGCAUGCUGGUGCAAAUGACCCAAUGAAGUACCCUGGGUCCAAGAAACUAUAAAAACUAGCAACUAAAUGUACAGAUGUACAGAUGCCCCUUUGCUAGCUAGCUGAGCAACAGCCCAAAAACAAGGAUGUCUUGGGGACUCAUAUGCACAGCAGCAUGAGUAAAAUGUUGCACCUUGGGAGUGAGAGGCAUUUGCAAUCCAAUAUAAUUAAGCAUGUGAGGCAUCCGGAAUUCAGUUUUGUCAAUAUGCAUACCUUGAUCACUGUCUGCUCGAUGUCAGGUUGCGUGAGGGGUUUGGAUGUCUUAUAGGGUUUUAAUUAUGGAUAGCUAAAAAUAUCGGAGGGUAGCGUUAAACGGGACUAUCAGAUUUAUUGAAAUUCUAUCAGCGAUAGACAAAAAAAAAUUGGACAAAAUUUGUUAGUAAAACACAUAGAUUAUAUCCAAACCAUUUUGUAUUAAAACCAAUGCAUCAAAAGCAAUGUUGUAGUAGUUAUUGACGCUAUGUCCAAAAGAUUAUUGUAGGAAAAUAAAAAAACCCCUGAAUUUUUUGGCCAUUAGGAGAUUUUCUCGGAGAGUAGCGAUAAACGGGAAAAAUCGGAUUUAUCGGUGAGCUUAUCGGCGAUAAUUGAAACCCUAGUAUUAUCCCAUUAUAUUAAAGUAUGCUUUGAACAAUUGAGUGUUGACAUCUGAGAUAUAUAGAUAGCUGAACGCAUGGAUAAUUAUAUCUUCCAAAUUCAAGCAUCUCUUGCAGAAAUGGGCAUGAGAGGCAUCCGGAACGUAGCUACAUGGGUCGCCCAAUGGGGUAGUGCAGCCAACAGUAUUGAGAGUUUGGAAAACGCUGAUAGAGCGGGAUGGAUAAGGUUUAGUUCUUUUCAACAACUUCAAACUUCAACUUUCUCGUGUGUGAUGGUCUAUGAAGUGUGGACUGUGAACCAAUGACGGAAUUGGACUUCCUUACAUUUUUUUUCCUCUAGAGUCUAGCCGUGAGUGAGGUGUGAUGGUAAAUUCAGUUGUCACAAACAAGCAUUUGUGUUUUUUCCUAACCACUGUAAAACAGAAACAAAUAUUUCUUUGGUUACUGCUAAUCUGUCCAUUGUACCGAUGAUGGCUAUUGAUCGGUUAUAUAUAUAUAUAUAUAUAUAUAUAUAUAUAUAUAUAUAUAUAUGUCCAAUAUAUUAUUUUGAUUCUGCAUGGUGUAUAUAGUUAAUUAGUACAAGUACGGAUUUGAGAAAUUACUCAGUACUGAACACAAUUUUAUCUGAACUGUACAUGGUUGUUGAUGUUCCCCUUCAUUUGGGAAGGAUGCAGAAUCAUAAAACUCUAUUAAAAAGUAUUACUAUGUUACUCCCGUCAUCGGUCCACAUUUUAUUUGUCUCAAUCUUUGACGAAUACAAAAUUAAAAUCCAUAAACUGAUAAAACAUGCCCUUUUAAAAGUAUGAUUUAACUCUUGUAAAAACCGUGUAAAUAUUUAUGUUUAAGAUGAAUCCUGUAUGGGCUAUAAAUUAGCCAGCGCAUACAAAGAUAGUUGUUUAUAUAAAUACACAGUGGCGGACCCAGGAUUUUAACGCUGGGUGUGCCCAUGUAGUUUAAAAGCCGAUGAAAAAGGUCAAGCACAAAAUUACAAAUAAGCCUUAAUUUAUCAAAAGUAUAAUGGAAAUAGUGAAAUAAUACAAGUUAAUUUUCCAUGUUUCUUUGUUUGGACGAGCUUGAUAAAAUUGAUUUGCCCUUGCCCACAUACUAUUUCACAACUUCCUGUCUUGGAGUUCCCCAUCAUAUAAAAAAAGUGAAGCACUGCCUUCCCUGAACAUGGCCUAGGUGAUGUAGAAUAUUAAUUUCUUGGUACCUUACUACCUCGCUAAUCGGCCAAUUGCUGUACAAUGUUGCCGUUGUGGCACAGGUGCCAGCCGCUAAACCUUCUAGCUCGUCAGCUAGCCACGACGUUUCGCCGCCGCCUGCCUGAGUGCCUGGUGACCCAUCUUGCUUGCUGCGAGGGGCGAGCAAGCUGCCGCCAAACAGAACGUCCCCCGCUCGCUUCUCGUUCGCUCAAACGACCAGGAGAGGGAAUGAGCUUUUGGGCCUUGUUCUUCCUUCAGCAAGCCAUUCAUUUAGUAUUUAUCCCACUGCAUAUUACUAGAUCCUAAACUUUUCACGAAUUUUUUGGGUAUGCCGGUGCAUACCCGGCACACCCCCUGGGUCCGCCCCUGUAAAUACAUAAGUUCUUACAAAAUAAAUCGAUCUUGAGAGUAACACGAAAUAUUUUUUUUUUGAAACGUUUAACACGAAAUAAAUUGGAGUAAUGAAAAGUGAUAUAUGUCUGUAUAGAUCCAUGACAUAUUUAAUUAAUCAACGAAUGGUUUAUAUAAAUUGGAGCGCAAAACGAGAGCAAUCGAUGAAGUACCCCAGGCUGAUCAAGAAAAGAAACUAAACAAUCAACAGAAAAAUGUAGAGAUGGUCAUGAUCAUCACAUUCAUAUAUAUACCACACACACGUGAUUUUGCUUCUUGCCUAGCUAGCCGGGGCAACUUGAAAAACCAUGAACAUUUUGGCGACUCAUGUAGCAAGCAUGUGUUGCCACCUUGGGAAUGAGAGGAAUCUGGAGUACAGCUACAUGGAUCAGUGGUGUAGUGCUGGGAUGGAGUUGAGUUCAAAGUUUGGAAACCACCCAUGGAACGGGAUGUCUGAUGGAUGUAUGAAUGACCUUGUGCUAUGUUUCCUAUUGGUAAUCAGCAGACAUGGAAGGAUGAUGGAGUGGUAAACUCAAUCCCUCUUCACUCCAGAUGCACUGCACUGAUCAAAUGAGACCCGCAUUAGUUCCUGCCACAAACUAGGGGUUUGUGUUAUGUUCAGUGAUCACAUUCCGUUCUUUCUAUUCUGCCACAGAAUCGUAUGAUACAUUGCUGCCACACAAUAUGUGUCAGAAUACUCAGCCUUAGGUUUCAUAUGAUUGCCGCAUUAGUGUCAUAUGAAACAGAAACUGUGCUUUCAAUUGUUUAGCAUCUGGUGUAGCCUAUUCAUUGUGCCAGCAAUGGUGAUUGAUCCAUUGUAUGUCCAAUGUUCUUGAUGCAGUUCGACAUGAUGUAUCUAGUUAAUGAAAAGUUUGUUGGGAUCAUUCUGUACUUAAUACCAAUAAUUUGAUCGUGAUGUAGUUUUAUGAUAUCUCCUCAAGGUAAACAAGAGUUUGUCUGAAAUUAAUGUACAUGUUUGAUGAUGUUCUGCUUGAUUUGGGAAGAAUGUCAAAUUCAAGUACACAGGAUUACCUUGAUUUGUCUGGUGCUUACUGCCAAUUAAUAUAGCUUGCUAGUUUCCAGCUCAUAGAACUCCAUUGAAAAAUGACGAUUAUUACGGAUUUACGGUACACUAUACUGCAAGUAUAAACAAUCUAAUGAUAUAGAUUCAUCUGAUCUUUCCUCUAGAUUAGUUUACAAUAUAAAUUGAAAAGGGUAAAUUUAUCUUUCCAUCUUUUUGCGCGUUUCCUUCUUCGGUCAGAUCUGGCCCAAGAGAAAUCUGCUCAAGAGAAUUCCGGUCGCUUUCUUUCAUCCCAUGCGCUACCACCACCGCCAAUAGCCACCACGAGGAAGCGCCGCCCCGCUUAUCCGCGAAUGGGAAUCGAUUCGAUUUUCCGGCCUUCCUUUCUUCCUUAUGUCCUUUCCGCCCACCCAAAACCUGGAAGUGUAAUUUGGAGAGAUGACAUAUAUACCACGAAGACAUAGAUGGUUUCCUUAGAAGAUGCUUGUUUACUGUUAUCCUAAUAGAAAUCAAAUGAGUAUUGAUCAUGCAUGCACAUCCCUGAGGUGCAAUUGAGAAUGUGAGGCAUCCGGGAUCCAGUUUUGUCAAACGGGGAGGCACAGGAGAUUCCUUAUGUGUUUACAAAGUUAAAAAGAUCACUACUAAAAAGUGGAAAUAACCGAGAUAGUUACAUAUAAAUGAAUUAAAGCACAAAUAGCUCAAGUGUUUUGUUGAUGAAUUGGAAUUGUCUCAUUAAGUUAGUACCACAUAUUUUGGCCCGAUUCUUGUAUACACAUAAUAUAUACUCAAACUUUCGUAAAAAAUAUGGCGGCCGGAGCUAUCAAUUCCCGCCUUCUCUGUUCUAGAUGUCCUAUCAAACACAAAGGUGACCUUCAGUUCUUGUGACAAACAAGGUUUUGUGUUCCGUUCUAAGCACCGUAAAACAGAAAAGAUCAAUGCAUCUAUUUCUCCAGCUAACUAACUUGUUUGUUGUGCCAACAUGUGGAUGAUGUUGCUGUGGAACUGUACAUGUUUGUUGAUGUUAGGAAUGAUUGGAAGAAUAACAAAUUAUAUUCAAGUACGUAAACAUGGUUUUCUUGAUAUGUUUGGUGUCCCAAUUAAUAUAUGCUAGUAUUUUUUUUUCACUGAAAAGUACUACUAAUAACUACCACUCUUUAUACUGUGUCAGUUUGGCUCAUGAAGAGAAAUACCUCAAUACAUGUUCUCUCCAUGAUCCAUAUAUGCAGAGAACUAUAUCAGAAGCCAUGACACAUGAUGUAACCAUAACACUGCAUAUAAAUUCAGGCAUGGCAUCUUAGCACUUUGGAAGUGUAGUUUGGAGAAAUGACAUAUCGCAGAGACACAGAUGGUUAACUGUUAUCUUAAUAGAAGCCAAGAGAAUAGUACUCAUGCACACAUAUCAACAAAAGAAAAACAAGAAGCAAUUGAGCAUGCGAGGAAUCUGGAAUUCAGUUUCGUCAAUGCAGGCCUUUGUUGAGCUGUGAUCUAAAUUCAUUUGGACAUAAUAAAGGCCAGCUUUUGCCGGAGCGAAGCGAAGGCCCGUCGCUGGAGGCUUGGGCCGGAGCGAUUGGGUUGUGCACCCGGGGACGCCUGGGGUGCGGGGCAAAUUUGGAUCACAACUCAACAACCUUAACCAUUGCAUGAAAAUUUGGGAUGUUUUGUCCUGGUGUGCGAGUGGAGAUAUCUGAGAUGCAGCUAAAAACAUUAUCCACAUGUUGGCCAACAUGUGGAUGAUGUUGCUGUCCCAUGUAUUGAUGUCCCGUAAAACAGAAAAUUCUGGAAUUUUGUCCAACAUUUGAUCUAGGCUCUCAAUAUCAACGAGCUUAGCUCAGUUUUCUUUUAGCCGUUGAAAAGUGUUAGGCACAUGAUAAUAUGUGGAGUUAUUUGCUAAGCUGAUAACCGCACCCAUCUUGUACUCCAAAUCAGCUUUCACUAUAAAUAGGGGUUGUCCUUUUUCUUUUGUUUUUCUAGAGAUGGAUUUCCAAAGAAUAGCACUUUAGGCGCUGCGUACAUCGAUCACAGAGAAACUUCUCCAGGCUAACCAUAUGGGGGUUAAUUAAUUAACUAAGUAAUCAGUUAGUAUUAAUGAAGAACUACUUGAAGUACUAAACAUCUUUCUGUUUAGGGUAGUAAAGUAUUAGGUAGAACUAAUACAGGAUCAAGUAAAGCUCUGCACUGAGCCAUAAAAUCUAUCUAUCUAUCUAUCUAUCUAUCUAUCUAUCUUCUAUCUAUCUAUCUAUCUAUCUAUUAUCUAUCUAUCUAUUAUAUACUAAAAGUCCAUGAAACUUCCUACAAACGCUCUCAAGCCGCCACGUGGCGUUCUAAUAAAAUAGAGAAAAUCCUAGAAAUUCUACGAAAAAAGCAAAACAUCCGACCAUUGAUUUUCAUUUAAAUUGGUGGACCCAUUAUUUUACACCAUUAGAUUUAUCUCAAGAAAAAAACAACCAAAUCCACCUCUUUCCAUCGUUAGAUUAGAUCUAUUGAGACUCACGGUCAAGCACACCUCGCCUCUUUCCGUGCAUGCGACGCACUGUACGGACACUUCCUCUCCUCUCUUUUGCUGCCCCUCCCCUCCUAUUCUCUUUUCUAUUUGUAAGCAAUCAUUUUUUUUAUCAAGAAAUCAACAGUUCGAUGUGUUCAAAAUAAUUACUAUAGUUUUAAUUUAUUUUGUAAGCAAACUAUCAGAUCAAGAAAAAUCCUCCGUCGAUAUAUGGAGCAGUUCUACCCACUGUUGUAACAAUAUAAGUAAAUUUCUUGAAGCUUUUGGAAAAUAAAUUAAUUAAUUUUAGGCAUUUGGGUUAUCAGGUGGUUUUUAAGAGAGCGUGCCCUACCUCUUCCUCCCUACUCUUACGCGCUAAUAAGUCUUAAUUUAUACAAUUAAAAACCCAGUUUUGAAUAUAUUUUAAAUCAUAAAAAUAUAAUUUUGCGGGAACAUUAUAUUAUAUAAUACACUAAAAGUAUAUUAAACUCCCAACAAAUGUUCUCAAACAGUCACGUGACACAGUGGCUUAGAUAGGAUUUAGAGUAAAGGCGGUCCAUCUAUAUGUAAUAGGUCAAUUAAAAGGGUGGUCCACUAUAUAAUUUUUAUUAUAUUAACUAGCACAUAUACUAUAGUUUUAAUCUUGAUCGAUCUUUUAGGUGGUCCAUGGCCCACAGUGCCACCUAGCUAGCUACGCCUCUGACAUGACGUUCUACAGACGCUUCUAGGAUGUCAUGUGGCGCUUUAAUAAAUUUAAGAAUAAAUCAUGAAAAUUCUAAUUAAAAAGAAAAAAAAUUCUAAACAUUGAUUUUCUUUAAAUAGGUGGACCCAAUAAUUUUAAUCUUAAAAAUAAAUCCGGUAACCCCACCUUCACCCCCACCGUAUGUGAUCACGCAUGUAAGUACUCCUCCAUCCUCCUACUCUCCUCUGGGAUCCCACUCUCCUCUCUAUUUUCUAGCUAACUUUCCUAUUUUCUAGCUAACACAAAAUAUAUAAAAAAACAAUAGCUAAAUGAUCAUGACUCUCAAGUUACAUGUACUUUUCUCAAUCUAUUUGCUUUCUUGUGUUAUUGUAUAAUUAAAUACAUAAUCCAAGAUCUAUAUUGCCCAUAUUUACUAUAUAAAAGUUAGAUAAUUUGGUCAUUCUAACUACAAAUAUUUGAGCAAAAUAGCACUUUGAAAAUGAUGGAUGAAUUCAAAUAUGUACGUCUAAAGUCCAGGUUCAAUAACCACCAAGGAGCUUGGAACCAUAAUACAUACUCUGAACCCGAUGGACACCGACGGCAGCAGUAGCAUUGACUUCCACAAGUUCCUAAGCCUAAUAGCGUGCUAAAGGACAAAUACUGAUAGGAGGGGCAGAGGGAGAUGUUCCGCUUCUUCAGCAAGGAGUAGAAAAUUACUUCAUCUCUAACGCCAAGCCCUGCCAUGUCAUGUCCAAUGUAUCAGGAGAGGCUCACUAAUGAGGAGGUCGACGAGAUGAUCCAUGAGACCGAUGGUAGCAAGCGGAUCAACUAUAACGAGUUCGUAAGUGAAUUCAUAAAAAAAAUAAAACAAGCAAUUUGAUUAAAAUAUACAUUAAACCAAAAAAACAUUAAAAGUAUAAAAAAACAACAUGAUUCCAUGUAGAAUAUAAAAUAUCAAGAGUUCGUAUGAAAGUAUGAGUUAUAAAUAGAUAAAAUUGGGAAUAAUAAAAUAAGUAUCAAAAGAAAAGUCCAAACACAACACGAUACGAGAUUAAGUACAAUUUAAAAUCCCUGAAAAGACAAUUUAGACUCGAAAUUAGACUCGAUCACUAAAUUCAAAAUACAUUAAACAUUUUUCAAAGAACUUUUCUAUGUUGAUUCACAUGCAUAACGAAUUGCAUAUAUACGAAGCAAUUAAAGAAAGGGUUAGCAGGGUAGGAAAAUACAUUUAUUAUAGUUUGUCGAUAUUUCUUCAUAAAAAAAUACAAUGAACACUCAAUUAAAAAUAGAAAAUGCCUUACUUUAAUUUCAAUUUAUUUUUUAGAACUAUUUUCAAAACAAACUAAUAUGCAUGCCCGCGCGAAUGCGCGGGCUAUCUUCCUAGUUAUUAUAUAAUAAAAGUCCAUAAAACUUCCUAUAAACACUCCUAAACCGCCAUAUGUACUCCUACAAAUACUCCUAAACCGCUGCAUGGCACCCUAACAAACCGGUGGGCCCAAUAUUUUUAUCUAUUAAAAUUUUAUUAAAGAAAAUAACCCCACAAUCUCCCCUCCCCUCUCCUCUCCCCAUAGGCCCACCCUUUCACCGGAAUACGGCUUCACGUUUAGACUAUCAUCUAAUCUAAUAUUCCCCACGUUAGAAUAAACCAAACCUGUUUGUAUUUGCGUUUGCAUGUACCAUUGUAUCAUCUCAGCCAACGCCAGGACACUCCGAUGGAGUUCUCUUCGUCUGGCACCCGGCCAGAGACGACGCUCCUUCGUGUUCUCCUUAUAUUCCAGUGGCUGUGCAGAUGGGAUCAAGGGAAAAGCAGCAGCAGUACAUACAUUUUUGAUAAAAUUGGUUAUAUAGCACUAGAUUUUUUUAUAUGAGUUAUGUCCACAAUCUAAUGAUCUUUUAUUGUAUUUUUCUUACACACGUACGUGCUUCCUCCCCCCCUCCUAUCCAAUCUCUUCUUUUUUUCUUUAGUUAUAAAUAUUUUUGAACAAUAAUAAAUCUUAAAUAACCAUAUUUUUCCUAUAGUUAUUUGUUGUCGUCUAUUAACAAUUAAAAAUAUAUAAGGUGUUCUUUAACCUAUAAGAAAUAUUUAAUUUUUUAUCAUAUCCUAAACUUUGCAUAUCACUUAAAACUGUUAUAUGAAAUAGGGAAAAAUUGAUAAUAUAGACUACACGAUCAUAUAUCAAUUCACAAAAUAUGCAUAAACAAAUUAAAUUAGAUCUAUUAUAUAACAAACGCUUCUAAGCCACCACGUGGCAUCCUACAAACGCUACUAAGACGCCACGUAGCACUAUAAUAAAUUAAAGAAAUUACUACAAAUUAAGAAAACACAAAACAUCUAGUCAUUCAUCUUCAUUAAAUUAGGUGGACCUAUUAUUUACCACCAUUUGAUUUAUCUUUUAAAAAAACUCCCUAACCCCUAACCCCCAGACCGGAUCCAAAAAUUGGGCCUGUACGUACGUAGUUAGUAACGUAUUCCGCCCCUUCUUCCCUCAAUUUCUUCGUAUUUUUGCACAUAUUUCUUCUCCUAUUAUCAUACUUUAUUAGUUAGAAAAGAUAAUUUUUGUGUUAAACAAUUCAACAACUAUAACAUCUAAAUCAUACAACUAAUUUGUAAUUCGCUUUUAUCUUUAAAAUUAUUUAUGACUAAAUCUACAGCCAAAGACCAAAUUUCCACAAUAAUUAAACUUUGAGAAAAAAAAAGUCACUUUGGAUUAUACUUCCAGACUUUUGCGUACCGUUCAAGCAAUUAUAAAAAUAUGAAAUAGUAAUAUUAUAGACUCUAUCAUUGUGCAUAACUUCAUAAGAAUUAAAUUAUAUCUACAAUCAUAAAUGUAAAAUAAAAAUAGCUACGAGUAGAGGUGGGCAGAAUAAGACCGAAUCGAAGAACUGAACUGAAAAGACCGAGACCGAGACCGAAAAUACCAAGGCUGAGAAAUUCGGUCUCAGUCAUCAAAAACCGAAUUUUUUUCGGCAAUUCGGUUAUUGGCUUCGGUUAAUUGAGUUACCCGAGAAAACCGAAUUGUGGCCCAAUAGGCCUAUGAGGGCAACAGGGAGGGAUUAAGUCACGCCGCGCCGCCUCCAAUCCAAUCCCCGCCGCAUCGCGUCGUUAGCCUGUCAUGCCCCCGCCUCCGCCUCCAUCGCACCGGCGCCACCUCCUCCCUCCGCCUCCGUCUGACCGCCUCGGCGCCGCCUCCACCCUCCGCCUCCAUCCCGCCGGCCAACUAGGCGCCUCCAUCCCGCCAGCCACAUCCGUCUCCACCGGGGAGGCAACGAGAGGCUACAUUCAUGACGACGGCUACAUCGGAUAAUUGGCUUCUUGCGAUUUAAGUAUUAUGCUUACUAUUUGAUCUACUCCUCUGAUUUGAAUCCAAUGCAUAAUUCGGUCAGACCGAGACCGAGACCGAGACCGAAAAGACCGGUCCUGAGUUUUUUUUGGAUGAGAUACGGUCCUGAGUUUCCAAAGACCGAAAUGACCGAAAGACCGAAGACCGAGACAUAAUUUUUCGGUCUGACUGAACGCCCAACCCUAGCUAUGAGUAAUGUUCCCAAAAUAUAUAAGUUAGAAAGCAGGUGUUAUAAAAAAAAUAAGCAGCUAUAACAUCUCAAUCAUGGGAUCUCCUAUAUCAUAUGAGUAAUAUUUUUGCUUAUGUAUUUUGAUUAUUUUGCAUUUAAAGACCCAUAUUCGGGGUUAUAUUAUCUGACUUUUGUGUGCGAUUCAAACAAUUAUAAAAUUAUGAAAAAUAAUGAUAUGUAUUUUAUCAUUGUAUAUAAGUUCACCAUAAUUCUAUUAUAUUUGUAAUGACAAAAAGUAAAAUGAACCUAAUAACACUAAGUUUUGUUCCAAAAAAUUACUCCUCCCAUUCUGGUAUUAUAAUAAAUAAAAAAUAACAAUAGUAGAUUUGGUGUGUUCACAUUUUCAAUAUUGUAUACUAUGUAGGAAAAGACGUGUAAAAAGGAUAUAUCUUAAUAAAUCAAUAAAACUUUUAUUCUAUUUUUAGUUAAUAAAGUAAUAGUAAGUAAAACACUAUAAAAUGUAAAAAAAUAAUUAUAUGUGCACAUACUUUGUCCCAUUCGACUUUCUCUUCUUCUCCUAUCUCACUCAACUCCUCCGUCUUACAAUUUUUAACUAAUUAACAACAUAAUAAAAAAUGAUCAAUAAUUACAAAGCUAAAUAAUUAUGAUUCUUAUCUCAUAUCUGUUUUUUAGCUUAUUUGAACUGUUAUUUUGUUUAUAAUUAAAUAAAUAAUUCAAGAUGCAUAUUACUCAUAUAUCACUUCAUAAAAAUGAAAAUACACCAUUUAAGCAUACACACCUAUCCUUUGCAUGGUAACCAAAAUAGAAAACAAAUGGAGCAUUAUAAAAAAAUGACAAUAAGUAUUAUAUCACCUCAAAUCAUUGUAUAUCCUCUGUAGCGUACUUAGAGUGUUAUGUUACAUCUUAACUAAAAGACAUUUGACCAUCAGUUUCCACUUAAUAGGUGGAUCCAUUAUUUUAACCAAUAGAUAUAAUUUUAGAGAAAAUCUUAAUCUGCCAACGAGAAAUAAUCAAUAAUAUUAAAACAUGCAUUCUUUUAAGCUGCACAUAUGAUUUUUAAUCUAACCGUUGCUCUAUUCAUAGUUAAAUCAACAAUUUAAAGGUCCAUAACCUCUAUAGUUUGAACUGGUAUAAAAUAAAAUUAAAAAUAUAAAAUAUCAAUAGGGACUAAAUUGGAGAAAAUCAAAUAAGUUCAUACCUUUCACUAACAUUGUACCAACCAUUACAUGUUCCAUUUUUAUAAUAUUUUUUAAGUGCUUACAUAUUAAUGGCCUUGCAUAUAUCCUAUACCAUAGUAUUAUGAGUUUGUCUGCAUAUUAAGCCACACUAUGGUAGCAGUAUACAUAUAGUUAGUUGAAAAGUUAUAUUUAUUACUAUUAAACUUAAAUGUUAAACUCAUGUUGAUUAUAUUUUCUUUUAGAAAAUAUAUUAUAGGUCAAACAUAUUUCAAGGAAGCGAGGAUCUACGAUAUGUCUUUGUUAAUUUAUAUGUAAGUAUGUAAUAACUUGCGUGAAUCUGAACCAACUUAAAAGAAGACUAACUUGAUAGUACAAAUAAAACAUGUUUACUAACUAUUUGUGCUUUAGGAUUUGUUAAAAAAGGCCACUAAACAUUCAAUUAAACAAGACAAAACAUUUUACUUUUAAUUUACGUUUAAUUCGUUAGACAUGUUUUUCAAAACAAACUAAAUAGAUACUUUUGAAAUAUGGCAGAUGUUUAUACGGAUCAUAGAUAAUUGUUUAUACGAAUGAAUUAAAUAUUAUAUAUUUUAAAAGCUAACAAAUAGCUUGGAAAACUUAUCUAAGCAAUGCCGAUGAUGAAAAAUUAUGGAGAAAUAGUACUUAUGAAAAAUUAUGUCAUUGAGUUGAUAUUCAACCUAUAUAAGAUUUUCAAACGCAAUCUAAAAUACAUGCCCGCGCAAUGCGCGGGCUACCUUACUAGUUUACUUAAUUAACCAGUCCUUCACAUUUCAGCCCAAAAAUAACAAAGUGAUGCUAUGACCAAUAAAUAAGCGCAGCCAACCGGAUAGUUAUUGUACUUAGGUUCCCAGUCUUUUUAAAAUUUUUCAUAAUUAUUUGAUUGAGAUUUCAAGAGUGCAUGAGAAAUGCACGAGGGCCUAUUAAAUUAGCAAUCGAUUGGAUACAAAAUUAGAGCAUAAGAGAGCAUGAAUAUGCAGUACUCUGAGCGAAAGAAACUAGACAACCAACAACCAAAUGUAGAGAUGGACAAGAUCAUCUCACAUAUAUAUACAUGCAUAAUUCUUCUUUUGCCAAAGCUAGCUGGGCAACUGAAAAACCAUGGAUGUUUUGGCGAGAGUCACGCAGCAGCAGCAGCAGCAGAAUGUGUUGCAACCUGCUAGGGAGUGAGAGGCAUCCGGAAUUCAGCUACCUUGGGUACACUCUCAUCUGGUGCGGUGGCUUGAUUUUGUGCUCGCCACAUUCUUCUUGUCAUUAGCAAACACGAAACGAUAACGGAGGUGGUCUUUCUCUCAUAUGAUACUCUGUUGUGAUCUUCAGUUCUCUUGCCGCAGCAAGGGUUUGUGUUCUGAAGAAAGAACUGUGAAAGAGAGAUAAUGCUACUGUUUGUCUCAUUGGUAGCGACGAUAACCUGUUCAUUGUGUCAAUGAAGGUUAUUGAUCGAAAUCCUAUGUCCGGUGUUCUUCCCAUUUUCGCAUGGUGUACAUGGUUAAUUCAGUAAUUGGGAUUGCCAAGCCCUUUUCUAGCCCAUCAUAACAAAAAGUGAAUAAGAAAACACUGAACACAGGUUUUUAUGAAGUGUACCUGUUUGAUGAUGCUUUGCAUGAUUUAGGAAGAAUGCCAGAUUCUAUUAAAGCAUAGUUUGGCUUAAUAUAGCCUGGCAUUUUACAGCUUACACAACUCCAUUGAAAAAUACUGUGAAUUACCCCUUUGUACUAUGGCAGUUUGGCUCAUAGAAAUAACUCAAUCCAUGUGCUUUCCAUAAUCCUUAUAUACAGAGAACUAUGAGAAGCCAUGACACAUUGACACAUGGUGUAACACCAUCACAUUGCAUAUAAAUUCAGGCAUUGUGCUUUAGCAUUUUAGCAGUGUAUAGUUUGGACUUUGGAGAGAUGAGAUCUCAGAGACACAUAAGGACACUAUAGUUUUCUUGGAAUGAGCCAGCUUGUUUAUCUUUCCUAAUAGAAACCGAGUGAUUAAUACUAAUCUAUGCAUACCACGUAUACUGUGAGGCAGUUGAGCAUGUGAGGCAUAAGCUGGAAUCCAGCUCUGUCGACGUUAGCCUUGACCACAGGUUGCAUCUUUGCUUAACGAGGUGGUUGUUUUGAGUUACAAAGAACCGCAUGAAUAUGAAGUAAUGGUAAACAAAUGUAAACUUUGUCACCAUUUCUGCUGAGCUGAAGAACCUAGGCCGUGUUGCCGACGAUCUGAAGGAGAAGAAGAUUAUUCAGCUAAUUAAUGGUCAAGAAGCGAAGUAUUUAUUCUACAUGUGUAAAGGCUUGACUCCAGGUAGUAUGGGCUGGAUUGGACCCCAUAAUUUUGGGACUGUGUGAUAGCCUUCAUAUUAGAAGGUAUUUUGAUUUUUUUUCUACUCAAAUUUUAUCAAGUUUGCUUAAGUUUAUAAAAAAAACUAAAAACAUCUGAAAUAUCAGGUUUCAUUAAAUCUAACAUUGAGGGCCUGUUCACUUUGAUGCCAUUUUCAACCUUACCAAAUUUUGGUAAAGUUACUAAAAAGUGACUACAUUUAGUUUGCUGCCAAAUUUUGGCAGGAUUUCUUAUAUAGUUACCAAAAUUUAGGUAACUAUACCAAAAAAUUUUUGACAAUGCCAAAAUUUGGUAAGGUUUUUUUUGGCAUCAAAGUGAAUAGGCCCUGAACAUAUUUUGAUAAUGUGUUUGUUUUCGAUUGAAAAUACUACUAUAUUUUUCUAUGAUUUCGAUCAAACUAAUAAAAGUUUAAUUAGAAAAAAAAUCAAAAUAACUUAUAAUAUAAAACGGAGCAAGUACUACGUACUUAAGGGAGUGUGAGGAGCGCGUGAGUUAAAACAGGAGUUGUAAUGAAUUACUCCUUCCUCCUAUUUUAGAAAGUGGACAUCGAGCAACUCGUCAUGUAUUUUGGGAUGCCAAUUAAAGAAGUUAUGUUUUUUUUGAAAUGGGACGAAGGGAAUAACUAACUUGGAAGAAAAUAAAAUUGGUGGCAGCAGCGAAGGCGCGAGUGAAAUCGACUCCCCAAAUUUAUAAGCCAAUUUCAGUAGUGAUGACUAAACAAGCUUCAAAGCACAUUUCUUGUGGAAGCGAUGAUUUUUCAAAGAACAACAUAUAUUGUGAAUUUUUUUUAUUUAUAAUUUUUUUAUUAAAAGUUUUACAAAAAUAAUUUUCCAUUUUGAAAAUUGACGGAAAUAGUCGCCUACCGCCCUCUGGGAGGGCGAUUUUUAAAAAUCGCCCUCCCAGAGGGCGGCGAAAAUGACGUGGCAGACGGCCGUUCGCUCUCGGGCGACGGCCGUCAACGAAAUUUGCAGGCGGCCCCCUUGCCGCCCUCCGCGAGGGCGAUUUUAUACUGUGCGGGGGGCCGCCUGCAAAUGGGCGGCGAGGGGGGGCAUGGAAAUUUGCAGGCGGCCCCCUUGCCGCCCUCCGCGAGGGCGAUUUUGUACUGUGCGGGGGGCCGCCUGCAAAUGGGCGGCGAGGGGGCAUGGAAUUUUGCAGGCGGCCCCCUUGCCGCCCUGGGGGAGGGCGAUUUUUGCCUCCCCCCUAUAAAGCCCAGCCCCUCCCCUGUGAAAUUUCAUUAUAUUCACUAAAAAUCCAAAAAAACGAAAGAGAGAGAGAGGGGAGGGCAGCAGAAGGGGAGCGGCGAAGCCCUGCUGGUUCGCUCACUUCAUCACAGGUAUGCUCCCAUACAUCUUUUGCAUUUGUACUAAUAUAUUACGUUUGAGUACAUAUGUUGCGUUUUAGUUUUAGUUCCAUAUAUUUUAGUAGAUCUGUAGCACACAGCACAUAUGUGUAGAUCCAGAGCAUAGAAUAUAAUAGUAUGAAUUGAGACAUAGACAGUAGUGUUAAUUGUAAGAUGUAGUUUAGUUUGAUCUGGAGAAUGUAACCUACUUUUAGAAAUUUAGAGAACAAUAUUGUAGAGAAUGUAACUUAGGGCGUAGUACAGAAAUGCGAGGUUAACGCAGUUAUUGUUUUCAUCAGGCACAAUGUCAAGUAAGGUCACAUUUCAGAUAGUUCACGGUGAAGGAAAUAUUAGAUUUGGUCCAGAUGGUGUUGAUCUGUCAGAUUUUGUAAUGACAUCUAAGGGCAUCGAUAGGCCUGCGGAGAGAACAUUUCAGUCAAUUUAUAGUUGGUUGUUGAGAGGAUUUAGAAUAGACCAAGAAGUCUACACAAUGUCAGUAUCUGUUGUAGUGAGUCGUGCAAUAGAAGGUUAUUUUUGGGAACUAAUGCCGAUGGACAGCACUGCUGCUUGGAGACGGUAUGUGGAAAUGGCUUUUGAACGGUCAUGGCCCCUCGUUAUAUUUGUGUCGGUACAAGAGAAAGAUACAAAUGUUUCAAUGCAAACCGAAGAUGUGGAGGGUCCUAGCAAUGCAGGGGAUGUUGUUGGACCAUCGAUGCAAAAUGAGGAAAAUCAACCAAGGGAGGAGCAGGCCAUGGGCAUGGCGGAUGAGGGGGAGAGAGUCGGUAUAAUUGUUGAUGAAAUGGAGAGGGAAGAUUCGGAUAAUGAGCAAGCGGAGGACGACGCAUCAUCCGAUGAGGAAGGUGAUGUAAUGGCCACUGAUUGGGCAAAUAAGGACUUCUCUGGUCUUGUUAUAUCAGAGGGUGAUCAUGUACCCUGGGAGUAUAAGGAGAACGAGGUAAUUGAGGGUGCAAGGUAUGCUCAUAAGGAUGAGAUGAAGGAGGCGGUGAAGCAUUGGGCAGUUUCAUUGCAGAGAGAGUUUAGGGUGGUCAAGUCAACAAAUUAUGUGUAUGAAGUGAGGUGCAUGAAGGAAGAUUGUCCGUGGCGUGUCCAUGCAUAUAAGGGUAAAUGGAAUGAUUAUUGGAAAGUUAGCAUUGUGACCGAGCACAAGUGCUACUUACAAGGGGUGGAGAAGUAUCACCGAAACAUCACUUCAGCUUUUGUGGCAAGUGAGAUGUACAGCAGUGUUGUUGGUAACAUUGGCUUUGAACCAAAAUCAAUUAUUAGGCACAUCGAGAACAAAUUCAAGUACACCAUAAGCUAUGCAAAGGCCUGGAGAGCCAAACAAAAGAUCAUUGAGAUGAGGUAUGGCACAUUUGAAGCUUCUUAUGAUAAUUUGCCUCGUUUGUUAGCCACCAUUGCCCAGAGGAAUAAUAAUACUUACUAUGACCUACAUACAUUUACAUCGGUUGAAGAUCGAACAAAGAGUGUGCUGCAAAGAGCCUUUUUCUUAUUGGGUGCUUGCAUCAAUGCUUUUGUGCAUUGUCGACCUGUUCUAUGCAUAGAUGGAACUUUUAUGACAGGUAAAUACCGAGGUCAGAUAUUGACAGCAAUUGGGUGUGAUGGGAACAACCAGGUUCUACCUAUGGCUUUCGUAUUUGUAGAGAGCGAGAACACUGAAAGCUGGUACUGGUUCCUAGAGAGAGUGCACAUUGCAGUGGUGCGUAUGAGGCCCAACGUUUGCCUUAUACAUGAUCGUCAUGCGGGUAUGUUGCGGGCUAUUGACUACUUGCAGAACGGUUGGGAUGAGAAGGGACUUCCAGCUAAGUGGCCUGAUGUUCGGAGUCGGUGGUGCAUGCGUCACAUGGGUGCAAAUUUCUACAAGCAAUUCAAGAACAAGCAUCUUAUGGAUCUCUUUAAGAGGCUCUGUGCACAGAACCAAGAGAAGAAAUUUAAUGAGUUGUGGGACAAGUUGGAUGAGUUGACAACGAAGCAAACAGAUGAGCAAUCUCGCAGACCACAAGUUGAAGGUGACGAGCCUCCCAUACCUCUUGGUGCAUUACAUGAUGACCCACCAACAAUGAGAAGGAGGUCAGGGUCGGCCAUCAGAAAUUUCUCUCAGUGGAUUGAGAACGAGCCUAAGGAGAAGUGGGCUCUAUUGUUCGACACCGAUGGAUCUCGGUAUGGCAUAAUGACAACCAAUUUGGCAGAGGUGUACAACUGGGUAAUGCGAGGAGUUCGGGUACUUCCAUUGGUUGCUAUUGUUGAAUUCAUCCUUCACGGCACGCAAGCCUACUUUAGGGAUCGAUACAAGAAAAUUGGUCCGUCCAUGGCCGAUAACAACAUAGUGUUUGGCAACGUAGUGACAAAGUACAUGGAAGAUAAAAUCAAAAAGGCACGGAGACAUAGAGUUGUUGCUCAAGGCACACAAGUGCAUCGGUAUGAAAUAAUGUGUGUUGAUAGGAGCAGGCGUGGUAUCUAUCGCAAGCAAGCCGUGCAGGAAUGUGUCUUGAAGGCGGAUGGUGGAUGUACCUGCAGUUGUAUGAAGCCGAAGCUUCAUCACCUUCCUUGCUCACACGUUCUUGCUGCUGCCGGUGAUUGUGGCAUAUCUCCCAAUGUGUACGUCUCAAAUUAUUUCAGGAAAGAAGCAAUCUUUCAUACAUGGAGUGAGGAGAUAUAUGGGUUCGGGAUCUCAGGAUCUUACACAACGCUGAGUGCCCAAGUUUUUUAUAUUCCAGAUCCAUCUAAGUUAAGGGUGAAAAAGGGUCGACGCCAAACUAGACGCAUCAGAAAUGAUAUGGAUGAGUCAGAAGCAGGUGGGAGGACUUUACGCUGCAGCAAGUGUGAUCUGCGCGGCCAUACUUACAAGAAAUGCCCGGAUGAGUGUUUUGUACUAACAUUUCAUUCUUAACUGUAGGCGGACCUUCUGCACCCUGACGCUGAUGAUUACUCGGUCCGACGCUCCCUUGAGGCGUACCUGUUGUGGUUGUUCGGGUGGGUGAUGUUCACUAGCACCCACGGGCACGCUGUGGACUUCCGGCUGGUCCACUACGCACGGUCCAUCGCGGAUGCUCAGCCACAGGACGUGCCGCAGUGGAGCUGGGGUUCUGCCGUGCUAGCAGCCACGUACCGUGCCCUCUGUGAGGCGUGCACGAAGACUGACGCGGGAGCGAUCAUCGCUGGCUGCCCUAUGUUGCUUCAGCUUUGGGCAGCCGAGAGGUUUGCCAUAGGGCGACCAGUGGUGGACAGCGCACCCUACGGGGUUGGUCGCAGCGCGCAGUGGCCAGAGGACGGUCCCACGAUGGGGACUUACUGGUGUCGACAUGGGGUUAGUGCAACUUCGCUGCGUUAUAAGUUUAUCAGUCCUCUUCUUUUUUUUUCCUUCACAUAACAUGUCUAAUUCCUAUCAUGUUUAUUGCAGCGUCGUUACGCUCACGUCCAGGUGAGACGUGGUUACCCGGACUUCGUGUUCGAGUUUGACCGUCUCCAGCCGAGCGACGUCAUCUGGGAGCCGUACACAGAAGAGGCCGUCGCUGCGAGAGCACCGCUAGGACUUUCGUCCUUGUGCACACGCGACCAGGCUUACUGGCUCACCAUCCUGCCGAUGGUGUUCGACAUUUUCGUUGAGCCUCACUGCCCGCAGCGUGUGAUGAGACAGUUCGAACUUAGGCAGGUGUUUCCGGGCAACGUGCAGCCGACCGUCCCCCCUGCCGACCACUCGUGAGUUCGGAUUGUUCAUUUCUAAAUUUUUAUGGUAAUUACAUCAUCGAGCCAUACAAUUUACCUCUCUUCACAGGUUGACUCGACGGGGACAGCUAGCAGGCGCACUUUGGGCUCCACGUGUACAGCAGUACGUUGACGACUGGGUGUUAGCUACAGAGGAGGUGAUCAACGAGCUCUUCCCACACACGGAGGAGAACUACCGUGACUACCUUCGCUGGUACCUUCCUCGCACUCGUUCGCGUGUGACCUUCACUCCAGACGCCCCAGAGCCGCACGUUGCCGCUGUCACGGACGCGUAUCCCACGCACCGUGACCGAGACUACUUCGUGGCGGUACGUCCAAUUUGUAUUACUUCCAACAAUUAUGUCAUUUAUCUUGCAUAAUAUAGGACAACUACUGAAUUUUUUAUUUCCAUCUUGCAUAGGCUGAUGCGGCACGGGAUAUCAGUGCCGAUAUCACCGCAGUCCAGGUGAGGUUGAACAGAGGUUUGCACUUGACUGACGUUGAGCAGAGGGCGACCUUCGACCGGAUGCAGGAGAAGAUGCGUGCGGUCAUGCGCGUCUUCUCCUGUCGCAGCGCCGUGGACGUCGUACCUCCAGCUGGUCCGGUACACCCACGGCCUCGCGCGCCUACCGUCGGAGCAGGACCUCGUUUGUCUUCGAGCGCCCCUAGCUUCGGAGCAGUGCGACCUACAGCACCGGUUUCGCACGGUACAGUUCAGCCCAGAUAUUAGUUCAUUUUUGUUUCAGCUUUUGCACGAAUGUGUCACCAUGUUUUAACUGCACGUUUCCUCAUCGCAGGACCUCGUCUGCAUUCGAGCGCGUUCGCAGGCACGACCGGCGCUUCCGCGAGCUCCGCAGGGGCGUUCGCCACCUCUUCGGGCGCGUUCGCCAGCUCUUCCUCCCACGGAGCGUCGAUCCCUCACCCACACGGUACUUUACUUUUUAUUAAUACUGUUAAAUACCUGUACGAAACUGAUGGUCCUUGUCCAGCAGGAUUUGCAGCCGGGAUCUUCGGUACUGGGGCCUCUUCGUCUCACGCCGGUAGGACUGGUCCUACUAGCCAGUUCUACGACGACGACUUGCACGGUGCAGACCACCAGGACGUACUAGGCUCCUCUCAGCUUGGAGGAGCUCCAGAGGCGCACACUCAGGAGCAGCCAGAGGUCACACCUGUACAGGCAGGACGGGUUGGCCGUGCCGUACCCCCGGACCGACUCACGUACUCCCAGGGGCACAUUAGGGCGCAGGGUAGGAGGGACAGGGGUAAGAGGCCUCGUCAGUAGUGUUCUACCUCUUCAGUCCUUAUGUGACCGUUUCUUUUGGCUUACAAACUUGUAAAGCAGUACUACUUUUGCUAUUACUACUGCAGUACUACUUGUGUUUGUCUCGUCUACGUAGUUCUUUUCAUUCAUAUGGUGCUUGAACAACUUAUGCUCACAACAACACACUUUCGGCGCUUCACGGUAGUGCCAUAUCCAGUAGCGCGCACAGUCCACAACAGCACACAUGAAAAGCGGCAGCUCGAGUUAUCACUUUCAACUUUCGGCGCUGCCUGUUGACAUAAAGUGAAUCACGCCCACGCGUGAUCGUCUUGUCACAUCUAAUGAAUAAUGUAUCUCAUUGAGUUCACAUAUAUUGCACUGAAAACGACGCUAUAUAAUUGACAAUCUGAAGGCAACCUCUUCAUAUCUUCUUUCCCACUACCACACCACACACGAAAAUGGAAGCCUAUUAAUUGGUAAUACGUAAUCUAGAAUUGAGAUUAUGUACAACAUUCUUCACUACAAUUUUACAUUUUGGCAGCAAACCAAAUAUGAUCAAAUGCAAUUUUACCUUACCAAAUAUUUGGUAGUGCCAAAACUUGCUUAUAUUUUGGCAUUAACAAAAUAUUUGUACGGUAACAUUCCAAAUAUGCCCUAAAAAAUAAUAAAAUUGUAUUUUACCAGUCUUGGAGAUUUUAAUCUUGUAUAGUUUUCAAUAUAAAAAGAUUUGAUAACUAUUGAUAUUUAUAUAAAAAAAAUAUAGAGCACAGUACAAAAUCGCCCUCCCCCAGGGCGGCAAGGGGGCCGCCUGCAAAAUUCCAUGCCCCCUCGCCGCCCAUUUGCAGGCGGCCCCCCGCACAGUGCAAAAUCGCCCUAGCGGAGGGCGGCAAGGGGGCCGCCUGCAAAAUUCCAUGCCCCCCCUCGCCGCCCAUUUGCAGGCGGCCCCCCGCACAGUAUAAAAUCGCCCUCGCGGAGGGCGGCAAGGGGGCCGCCUGCAAAUUUCGUUGACGGCCGUCGCCCGAGAGCGAACGGCCGUCUGCCACGUCAUUUUCGCUCCCAGAGGGCGGUAGGCGACUAUUUCCGUUAAUUUUCAAAAUGGAAAAUUAUUUUUGUAAAACUUUUAAUAAAAAAAAUUAUAAAUAAAAAAAAUUCCAUAUAUUGUAGCGAUCCGAUCUGGACCGUCCAUUUAGGCACAAUUUGCUGUUUUCUUUAUCUGAUGAUGGGUUGUUUACUUGUUUAUUAGGCCCAAUACUUCAAUCUGGGGUGAAUGGGAGCCCAAAAGCGCCAUCACAUCCAGCUGAAAUUGGAUCGCUAACAAUUGUAGAAAUCCUAUCUGGGCCGACCAUACUGGGCCGAAAAGCCUAUAUAGACCUAUAUCACCUUGUGGCCCAGGGAUGUCGGCCCAUCACGCGCGCACGAUCCCUUUCUUCUCCCGAAUUUUUUUCAUUUUUAAUUUUAAUUUUUUUAAUACUUACAGAAAUAUUAUAUCAUCCAAAAUAUUUACACAAAUGGCCUCUGCCGUCCAAGUGGAGGGUGGCAAGGUUGCGCAUUUUGCACUUAGGUCCCUUGCCACCCUCUACAAGGGCUAUAAGGGGGUGAAUGCAAUUUUUGCCCUGCCAAAAAUGCAUUUUUCUAGUUUUUUUUUUCAACUUGUCCGUCCCUCAUGUCACCUUGCCGCCCUCGGCAGGGUCUAUUUCUGUAAAUAUUUUCGCCAGUACAAUAUUUCUGUAAAUAUUAAAAAAUAAAAAUUUAAAAAUGAAAAAAAUUAUUCUUCUCCCACUCCGUCAAACUAGCGGUAGUUUAAUUUCUUUCCUCGUCGCCGGCGGCCGCCGGUAAGCUCCCCAUCCUCCACGUUGCCUGUUGCACAGCGGAAUCACGCAAAUGGGGGCGGGCGUUGGUACAUAUCCAUUUCUUUUAAUUUCUGUUUCUUGCUUCUGAUAUACCUGAAAGUGAAAGAUCGAUGGUAAAAUGAUUCGAGCAAACUAAGGAGUCGAGAGACUGAACUGGUCAUGUGCAGUUUCGUUGUAUAGCAAACAAUUCUUAGGUAAAGUUUUCAGGAAUUCUGAUUUGAUUGCUUGAGACGCUGAUGUUUGAUCUGCCUCGGCAUUCGGAACAGACGACUCUAGCUGAGUUAAAUUCCUUUACCUUCAUCAGUAAUAUAAUUCAGUAUAAACAAGCCUGUCUGAACUGUAUGUGUUACACGAUGAUGUUCUUUAUUGAUUCCUUUGACGAUUGGUGCCGAUCUAGUUGAUCGAAUCAAUACGAUGAGAUGUGAUAGUAAUUAAAUUUCAGAAAAUGCUAUACGUACUAAUUUUUUCUUACUAAAUUCUUACUAACACUGAUGUGUCAUGCUAUGAGUGCAUCUAGAUUUUUUAUAACUUCCAUCUACUUAAAUCAAACGGUUGAGAUGAUUGUUAGUAAAUGUUUAGUAAGAAAAAUUUAGUACGUGUAGCAUCUAUCUAUCUUCUAUCUAUUAUAUACUAAAAGUCCAUUAAACUUCCUACAAACGCUCUCAAGUCGCCACGUGGCGCUCUAAUAAAUUAGAGAAAAUCCUAGAAAUUCUAAGAAAAAAGCAAAACAUCUACCCCUUAAUUUUCACUUAAAUUGGUGGGUCCAAUAUUAUACACCGUUAGAUGAAAUUGAUCUUAACAUAAACCAAACCAAAUACUAUGGGCCCCACCUCUCCUCCUCCCUAGAUAUAUCAUAUAUACGUACCAUGAACGUACGCUUCUUCUUUCCUUUCUCUUUUUUUUUUAUUUUUUCUUCUUUUUUCCAUUUAUAUAAGUACGUACGCUUCUUCUUUCCUUUCUCUUUUAUUUUUUAUUUUUUCUUCUUUUUUCCAUUUAUAUAAUAUAUAUAUAUAUAUAUAUAUAUAUAUAUAUAUAUAAAUAAUCAUAAUUCAUGCGUACGCUUCUUCUUUCAAUUCUUUUUUUCCUUUUUUUCUUUUUCUAUUUAUAUAAUAGAUAUAUAUUUUUUAAAUAAUUAUAUUUUACAAACAAAGAAUCUACCAUCAUACAACUUAGAGGUAACUAAGUUAUCUCUACAAUUUUUGAAAAUAAAAUUUACACCAUUAUCUGUUACCCAUUAAAUUAAUAAUAAUGUAAGAUAAUUUUCAUUUAAACUGGUGUACUCAUUACUUUGUACUAUUAUGUUUAAAUAAUACACUAUUUUAAAAUAAAGUUUACACAGUUAUAUGUGUACAUAUGUACGUGUACGUACGCUUCUUUCGCUUGUUUUUUUUUCUUUUUUCCAUUUAUAUAAUGGAUAUAUAUUUUUUAAAUAAUCAUAAUUUUACAAACAGAGAAUUUUACAAACAGAGAAUCUACCAUCAUACAACUCAUAGAUAACUAAAUUAGCUCUACAAUUUUUGAAAAUAAAAUUUACACCAUUAUAUGUUACCCAUUAAAUUAAUAAUGUAAUAUAAUUUCCAUUUAAACCGGUGUACUCAUUAUUUGUACUAUUAUUUUUAAAUAAUGCACUAUUUUAAAAUAAAGUUCACACAUUAUAUUGUAUACAUACGUAUGUGUACGUACGCUUCUUUCGCUUAUUUUUUCCUUUUUUUUCUUCUUUUUUCUAUUUAUAUAAUGGAUAUAUAUUUUUUAAAUAAUCAUAAUUUUACAAAUAGAGAAUCUACCAUGGUACAACUUGCAUGUAACUAAAUUAGCUCUACAAUUUUAAAAAAUAAAAUUUAGACCAUUAUAUGUUACCCAUAAAAUUAAUAAUGUAAGAUAAUUUCCACUUAAACCGGUGUACUCAUUACUUUGUGCUAUUAUUUUCCAAUAAUGAACUAUUUAAAAAUAAAGUUUACACAAUUAUAUUGUGUACCUAUCAAAUAAACAAUUUAAAAUCUAUAUUAACUAAUUUAUACGUGCAUUUAAGCUGAUGGACUCAUUAUUUAAAUCACUGGAUUUAUUUUUUAUUACAUUGGACUAUUAUUCUCCAAUAAUGCAUUGUUUCAAAAUAAAGUCUACACUAUUAUAUUAUGUACCCAUUAAAUUAAAAAUUUAAAAUCUAUAAUAACUAAUUUAUACUUACACUAGAACCGGUGGACCCAUUAUUUAAAUCAUCGGAUCUAUUGUUUUCUUAUAAAUAAAGCGUUCGAAGUUCUCUUUUUUGGCCCGCUACACAAUGCACGUCUGCACUUUUUGCCUUUUGCACGCGUGACAAAGCGUCGUGUCUAAGGCAUCUAAGGUGAUUACGACCGCCGCUACGCUACCACUUUGCCACAUAUCAAGUCAUAUAUGGAGUUGAUUAAUUUUAUUAAUAACAUGUAAAGAAAAUUAAAGGUGUGAUGCCGUGAGAGAAGAAUUAAGCACCGCGGGUUGAAUUUUUUCCAACACUUAGCUCUGUUUAACCUGAAACUAAGAGUUGAUUAUAGAAUAAUUAUAAUGUAUUGUGUUAUGUCAUAUUUGGAUUUUGUACUAUUUGUUCGUACAGGUGAAAGAAAUCAUUAUGUUAUAAAUAUGGGCAUAAUAUUAACGAAUAUCAAUAGAACUUUUACUAAGACAAGCAUACUAUAAGAGAGUUUAACCCUCUUUUUUUCCCAAUUCCAUAGUUUGGGUUUUCGUUUGCACGCUUUCCAAGUUUCUAAAUGAUGUCUUUUUAAAACAACAUUUUAGCUUUUUAGAAGUCAAUUCAUUCAUUUGUACCCUCAAAUAACUAUCAUAUAAAUAAGCUAUUCUAAAUCCUAAGUAGUACAUGUUUUUUUCAUGCGAGUCAUAGUGAUCAGUAAAUUGGGGAUCAACGGAUAAUCAAAGUCGUAAGAUAAAUAUGUAAGAGCUACUAUGAAUAACUGUAAAUAGGUGUCAAAAUUAAUUGCUAUUAAUUAGACAUCUGUCGGUGAUAUGGGACCGGGAGUAUUGCGCCCGGAGGCUUGAGGCAGAUGGAAUCGCCCACGUGGCCUGGCACCUUCGGGGACGUCGGGCCCGAUGGUGAGGUGUCCGCCCUCCUCCUGAUUUCCCCGAGGGGGGGGUCGGGUUGCUCCUGCCCCGACCCCGAGGGCCGAGGUGCCCCGACCCCCUGUGGGGUUUGCACUAUGUACAUAGGUUGGGUGAACACGGUAGGGCUCACCUAACCGCAUUUAUUGCGGUCUGGUCAAGCGUGUCACGUUGCAUGCAGCGCAAUGCAGCGCGCUCUUUUAUCCGGUCUGUGACCAGUCACAGACCGGUCGGAUCAACGGUUAGGUGGCGACUGGUGGUCUGACGCACGCCUCGCCCCGUCCCGUCAAGACGAGAGCCUCUAGGCACACGUCUCCAGCCGGAGCUAGCGUGUUACCUCUUAGAGAUGGCACGUUAGCCCUGGUUAGAUGAAUACCAGGCUUCAUCCCAACCGUUACAGGCAAGAUGCUACAAAAAGAAGGGUGAUCAUGCAGAUCGCUGAACUGACGCAUAGAGGACAAGAAUGACCGAUCUGUGACCGGUCUGACACUGGUCGCGUCAGCAACAGACAGCCACGAUCCCACGUUGCGCCUGUCUCCGCCGGGAGUGGAGGUAGGUGUGGGCUGUCCCAUCGAAGUGUCAUUCGGACGGCAACCAUACCAAGCUCCGUCAUCUUUUACAUGUGGUAUCCCCUUAAGAUAUAAAAGGAGGACCAUGCCCAGAGGGCGAGGGGGCUGGAUUUUCCCGGGAGAGGAGAGGGCUGGUUGAUAUUUUGUAACUUGCUCUUACACAGAUCCACCAAAAACACAGGAGUAGGGUAUUACGCUUCCCAGCGGCCCGAACCUGUAUACAUCGUCCGUGUCUCGCGUUUCUUCCUGGCACGCGAUCUUUCCACACACAGAGAGAGCUUGAGAUCUCACCCUAAGCCCCCGGCCGAACUGGCAAAGGGGGGCCUGCGCGGUCUCCCGGUGAGGAGCCACGAGCUCCGUCAUCUGGCGCGCCAGGUAGGGGGCUCAGCGUGUGUUUUCUGAGCUCUCAUACUCUUCCGUGUGGGCCAAGUUUCCCUUGUUCAGCCUAAUGGCCGAGCAAGCAAAGGCGCACGACCUCUCUCCGAGUGUGAGCGGCGACGACGGGGAGCCAAACCCGCGCCAUCGAGCUCGUAGUCCCCCACCUCCUCCGCGCCAAAGUCCCAAGCGGGGGGAGGCGCUCGAGAGAGUCGAAAAAUCCGCAGCAUCGCCAGUCGCGGGUGGUGCAGACGAACGGCGAGAUGGGGAGCGUCGCCUCCUCGUCUACGGCGACGGCAGCACGCCUCAGGGCGCGCUUCAGGCUGUUGGCGCGCUCCUACGUCACCCGCCUGUCGUCCCUGACCCGGAGUCUCCAGCCCAGCGAUGGCUGGACGACGUGGCCAACUUGGUCAUGACGGCACAGCAACGCCUGGGUGCUGGCGGACGGUCCGCCACCACCAAGACCUCCGGCGCCGCCACUACCGGUUCCGCGUCGUCAAGACGGAGGGCGCGGCGAGCGGCGGCUGCUGCACGCCAUUCGGCUACCACUCCCUCGUCGGCGCCUCCGACUCGGGAGGAUCAGCAUGAAGAGCCGGAUGCCCGCCUCGACAUCGAGCGCCGAUGUAGUGAUCGGCGUGCUCCCCGCGCAACGGAGGGUGCCUCUUCGUCCAGGGUGUCACCUCGACAUGGACGUGAGGGCCAGCCCUCCGUGCCCCCGGUUGGUGGUGUUGGCUGUAGAGCCUUUGUGGCGAGUCUUCGGAAUGUCCGUUGGCCCCCAAGGUUCCGGCCCACCAUCACCGAGAAGUAUGAUGGGAGCGUCAACCCCACCGAGUUUCUCCAGGUCUAUACGACCGGGAUCGAGGCCGCUGGGGGAGACGACAGGGUCAUGGCGAAUUUCUUUCCCAUGGCCCUGAAGGGACAGGCGCGGGGUUGGCUAAUGAACCUGCCACCCGCGUCGGUCCACUCCUGGGAGGAUCUGUGCCAGCAGUUUACCAUGAAUUUUCAAGGCACCUAUCCAUGCCCAGGUGAAGAAGCGGACUUGCACGCAGUACAGCGAGGGGAUGAUGAAUCCCUUCGCUCGUACAUUCAGCGUUUCUGCCAAGUCCGCAAUACUAUACCUUGCAUCCCUGCACACGCGGUGAUCUACGCGUUCAGGGGGGGUGUGCGGCACAACCGCAUGCUCGAAAAGAUUGCCUCCAAAGAGCCCCAGACUACCGCAGAGCUUUUUCAGCUCGCGGACCGAGUGGCUCGUAAGGAGGAGGCCUGGACCUGGAACCCCUCCGGUUCCGGUGUGGCAGCUUCGGCCGCCCCCGGAUCCGCCGCUCAGACAGGGCGGCGUGACAGGAGGAGGAAGAAAAGGUCGGUCCAUUCCGGCGACGAGGGUCACGUCCUCGCCGUCGAGGGCGCUCCGCGGGCCACCCGAAAGGGGAGGCCUGCGAGCGACAAAAAGAAAGAGGCUGGUACUCCCAGCAGGGAGCGCCCAGCCAGCAAGUGGUGCUCCGUCCACAACACCUCCCUCCACGAUCUUGCGGACUGUCGCGCAGUCAAAAACUUGGCUGAGCGAACGAGGAAGUGGGAGGAGGACAGGAGGCAGGAACGCCGUGAGGGCAAGUCUGCGGCAGUUCCCUCCGGUAAACGGCGAAGUGAGGCCAGACAGAAGGCCCCCGCCGUUGACAUCGAUGAUGGUGAUGAUGACCUAGGUUUCCAAGAACCUGGGGCCACCAUUGCCACUGUCGACGGGGGAGCGUGUGCUCACGUUUCUCGCCGGAGUUUCAAGGCCAUGAGGCGAGAGCUUCUCGCCGCGGCCCCUACUCAUGAGGCGACGCGUCGGGCGCGGUGGUCGGAGGUGGCCCUCACCUUUGACCAGACCGACCACCCACCGUGCGUUGCCCGGGGAGGGCAGAUUGAGAUGGUGGUUUCCCCCACCAUCUGCAAUGUGAAGUUGGGGCGUGUCCUCAUAGAUGGAGGAGCGGCUCUCAACAUCCUUUCCCCCGCGGCCUUUGAUGCUAUCAAGGCCCCGGGGAUGGUGCUCCAGCCGUCUCAACCGAUCAUUGGUGUGACGCCGGGGCACACAUGGCCGUUAGGUCACAUCGACCUACCGGUCACCUUUGGUGGAUCAGCCAACUUCCGCACGGAGCGGGUGAACUUCGAUGUGGCGGACCUCAGUCUGCCCUACAACGCGGUCCUGGGGAGGCCCGCGUUGGUGAAGUUUAUGGCGGCGGUCCACUACGCCUACCUCCAGAUGAAGAUGCCGGGCCCCGGUGGCCCCAUCUCUGUCCGUGGCGACCUUAAAGUCGCGCUCGCCUGCAUGGAGCAGCGCGCGGACCACCUCGCUGCUGCGACCAAGCCCGAGGGUGGUGACGAGAGGCUUGGCACCUCCGCCCCCACCGCCCCGAGGCAGCGGAUUGCCACAUGCGACGAGGUCCCGGUCAAGGAGGUUGCCUUGGGCGACGGCCCAUCCAAGACCACACGGAUCGGUGGUCUUCUGGAUGGCAAAUAGGAAGACGCGCUCGUCUCCUUCCUGCGGGCAAACGCUGACGUCUUCGCAUGGAGACCAGCGGACAUGCCCGGGGUCCCCAGGGAGGUGAUUGAGCACCGUCUCGCCGUGCGGCCGGGCGCAAGGCCGGUCCGGCAGAAAGUGCGGCGGCAGGCCCCGGAACGUCAAGCCUUCAUCCGCGAGGAGGUGGCGAGACUUCUGGAGGCCGGAUUCAUCCGUGAAGUCAUCCAUCCGGAGUGGCUGGCGAACCCGGUGGUCGUUCCCAAGGCGAACGGCAAGCUUCGGAUGUGCAUCGACUACACCGACCUUAACAAGGCAUGUCCUAAGGAUCCUUACCCCCUGCCUCGCAUAGAUCAGAUCGUCGACUCCACUGCGGGGUGCGACCUUUUGUGUUUUCUAGAUGCAUACUCUGGUUACCAUCAGAUUCGCAUGGCUAGGGAGGAUGAGGAGAAAACUGCGUUCAUUACCCCCGUAGGAACCUAUUGUUAUACAUCAAUGCCCUUCGGGUUAAAGAAUGCAGGUCCUACUUUUCAACGAACUACUCGAAUUUCUUUGGGUAGUCAAAUAGGACGUAAUGUUGAGGCUUAUGUCGAUGACUUGGUUGUAAAAACGCGCAACCAAGAAACUUUACUUUCAGAUCUAGCGGAAACUUUUGAGAACCUCCGCUCCGCCCGCAUAAAGCUGAACCCCGAUAAGUGUGUGUUUGGUGUACCUGCGGGCAAGCUUCUCGGGUUCUUGGUCUCUGCCCGAGGCAUUGAGGCCAACCCCGAGAAGAUUCGAGCUAUCGAGCGGAUGCGCCCCCCCAGCAAACUUAGGGAUGUGCAAUGCGUCACCGGUUGCAUGGCCGCCCUAAGUCGUUUCAUAUCAAGGCUGGGAGAAAAGGCGCUACCCUUGUUUAAGCUCCUCAAGCGCUCGGGGCAGUUUACUUGGACGGAGGAAGCUGAACAUGCCCUCACUCAGUUAAAGGCAUAUCUCAGCUCUCCCCCGGUUCUAGUCGCCCCGGAGCCAAAUGAGCCCCUGCUACUUUACUUAGCGGCGACCCCCCAAGUAGUUAGUGCAGCGUUGGUUGUGGAGCGCGAUGAAGACAAUCCUCAUUUCGUGCACCCCCAUUCUGUGCUAACUUGGCCCGGGAGCGAGCGGGGAGGAAAAGCCCCCGAGUCGGACGGUGGCCUACGGCCCCUGACGACCGGAGUCGGCCCUCUGCCCGCUUGUCAGACGGUGCUAGGUGCCCCCGACCCUCAGGAGGGCCCCAAGGCCACUGCGGGAAGGCCGCACUUAACGCCCUUUGACCCCGAGGCUAACCCUGUGCUGACUCGACCUGGGAAAGAGCAGGGAGAAGAGGCCCCCGAGUCGAAUGGAGGCCAGAGGCCCCUGACGACCGGAGUUGGCCCUUUGCCCGCUUGUCCGACGAUGCCAGGAGCCCCCGACCCCCAUGACGGCCCCGAGGCCACUGAGGGAAGGCCGCCCCUUUCAUCCUCCGACCCCGAGGUCAUCAGCACAGAAGACAAGUGCGCCCCGAAAGGCCACUUGAACGAAGAACGCCCCGGGGAUACGGCCCCUAGCAGAGAGGAUCGGCCCCACCGAAAGGUGCAGUGGCCUGUCUACUUUGUUAGUGAGGCCCUCCGGGACGCUAAGACCCGAUACCCUCAGGCCCAGAAGAUGCUUUACGCUAUUCUGAUGGCCUCGAGGAAACUGCGCCAUUAUUUUCAGGCACAUAGGGUCACUGUGGUUACGUCUUACCCCCUCGGUCAAAUCUUGCAUAAUCGAGAGGGUACAGGACGGGUGGUAAAAUGGGCAAUCGAGCUUUCUGAAUUCGAUCUGCACUUUGAACCACGCCACGCUAUCAAGAGCCAGGCCCUCGCCGAUUUUGUGGCAGAGUGGACCCCGGCUCCAGAGACCGUCUCAAUCCCCGAGGCCAGCACGAACCCCUCGCAGCUGCCUCACACCACCCACUGGGUGAUGCAGUUCGAUGGUUCUCUGUCCCUCCAGGGUGCCGGUGCGGGGGUCACGUUGACCUCCCCGACAGGAGACGUCCUUAGAUAUCUGGUCCGCCUUGACUUUCGAGCGACCAAUAAUAUGGCAGAGUAUGAGGGACUCCUUGCCGGACUCAGGGUGGCAGCCGGACUGGGGAUCCGCCGUCUCCUGGUGUUAGGCGAUUCCCAGCUGGUCGUUAACCAGGUCUGUAAGGAGUACCGGUGCUCUGACCCGCAAAUGGACGCCUAUGUACGCCAAGUGCGGCGUAUGGAGCGCCAUUUUGACGGAAUAGAGCUUCGGCAUGUGCCCAGACGGGAUAACAUGAUAGCCGACGAACUCUCACGGCUCGCGUCCUCGCGAGCCCAGACCCCACCGGGCGCCUUUGAAGAAAGGCUUACCCAGCCGUCGGCGCGACCCGACCCCUUAGGGGAGACGGAUGCGCCUGACCGACCCCCGAGGCCCGUCGGAGUCCAGGCCUCGGGACCCGAAGGGAGCGCUCCAAGCUCCCUUAGAUUGAUCGCUUGGAUCUCUGAGAUCCAAACAUACCUCACAGAUAAGACUCUACCUGAGGACCGCGAAGGGAGUGAACGCGUACAACGCAUUUCCAAACGCUAUGUGCUGGUAGAAGGGACCCUCUAUCGGCGCGCGGCUAACGGAAUCCUCCUGAAGUGCAUUCCUCAGGAACAAGGCGUUGAGCUUCUUGCUGACAUCCAUGAGGGCGAGUGCGGAGCCCAUUCCGCCUCGCGCACCCUGGUUGGCAAGGCCUUUCGUCAAGGAUUUUAUUGGCCGACUGCUCUCAAUGAUGCAGUCGAUCUGGUCCGGCGAUGCAGAGCGUGUCAGUUCCACGCCAAGCAAAUCCAUCAGCCGGCCCAGGCCCUGCAGAUCAUACCACUGUCAUGGCCAUUUGCUGUCUGGGGGCUUGAUAUCCUGGGACCGUUCAAACGGGCCCCGGGCGGGUUUGAGUAUCUGUAUGUUGCGAUCGACAAGUUCACUAAGUGGCCCGAGGCUUAUCCGGUUGUCAAGAUCGAUAAGCACUCUGCUCUUAAAUUCAUUAAGGGCAUCACGGCCCGUUUUGGAGUGCCUAACCGUAUUAUUACGGAUAAUGGCACCCAAUUCACUAGUGAACUCUUCGGCGACUACUGCGAAGACAUGGGCAUCAAGCUCUGCUUCGCCUCACCUGCCCACCCCAGAAGCAAUGGCCAAGUGGAGCGCGCCAAUGCAGAAAUCCUCAAAGGCCUUAAAACCAAGACCUUCAAUAUUCUCAAGAAGCACGGCGAUUCAUGGAUCGAGGAGUUGCCAGCGGUGCUCUGGGCAAACCGAACCACACCAAGCCGAGCGACCGGAGAAACGCCUUUCUUCCUCGUCUACGGCGCAGAAGCGGUUCUCCCAUCCGAGCUCACCCUGAGGUCUUCUCGGGCCACCAUGUACUGCGAGGCUGAUCAAGAUCAGCUUCGUAGAGAUGACCUCGACUACUUGGAAGAGCGAAGGCGGCGCGCGGCCCUCCGAGCCGCGCGCUACCAGCAGAGCCUGCGGCGCUACCAUCAGCGCCACGUCCGGGCCCGAUCACUCUGCGUCGACGACCUCGUCCUACGCCGCGUCCAAACGCGUGCUGGACUGAGCAAGCUCUCACCAAUGUGGGAGGGUCCGUAUCGAGUGAUCGGCGUCCCCCGGCCGGGCUCCGUACGGCUGGCCACGGGCGACGGCACUGAGCUGCCGAACCCGUGGAACAUCGAACACCUUCGUCGCUUCUACCCCUGAGGGGGGGGUCGGGUGUCAGGUUUCGGGCUCGGGCUAACCACGCACCCCCCUCGGGUGUGCAGGGUUAGCCGGGGGCUACCACACAUGCACAACCUUACUUUUCUUAUUUCAGCAUUUCAAUAAAAGCAGUUUCAAAUUCCUAAAGGUUGUGUCUGUGCCGUUUUUCCUUCUAAAGAAUCUUAACUUGAAAUAAGGUCACUCGUGCUCAACCUUGCCCUCGGGGGCUCGGUUCGGUCAGCUAAAAUCGCCAAGCGGGGCCCAGAACCGAGCCGUGCCCCGGGGCGUGGUGAACUCCGGGGGGGAAUCGGCAAAAACCCACAAUCGGGUCACCCAUAACCCUCGGUCACCAUGUUCCCGGCCUGGCCAGUCUCGACAUGUGGAUCUCCCCAGGCACUAGCCCCGACCCGAGCCAUUUGAGGAUCGGGACUUGAGCACGAGCCCUUAAAUCAAGCUAAGAUGCAAAAGGACUACGGCACAAAUCAUCCUCAACUCAUAUGCAUAACAAAACAAAGUUAACAUAGAAAUUUUUCAUCAUUUUUGAUUGCAGAUUAAGUUGAUCUAUACAAAAAGAAGAAAGAAAAAGAAAAAAUUGGAGAUUGGCGGGGGCCUGGGGGCUCAUUCCAAUGCGCCCGGGUCGCUGGCCUCGUCGCCACCGUCGUCCUCGCCGCUGGCGUCACCCUCCUCGUCGGAGCUGGGGGCGAACGCGAGCCGAGGGGCCGACCCCUCGAAGCUUUGGACGAUGUGGUUGGCGGCAUCCCGGACCCGCGCGCGCGCAUCGUCCUCGGUCCCGGGAGGGAACUCCUCCAGCGCCAUCCAUGGGGAGAAGCCGGGGUCCCUGGCCUGGUAACUCGCUAACACGAGUUCCACCGCUCCUUGGGCGAGGUCCCUCGAGGAUGACUUGAUGGUCUUCUCGAGCUCCUCGGGGAGUUGUUGGACAGCCCAGGCCAUCCUCCUAAGGUGCGGGGCGAGGCCUUCCAGAUUGGUGGAGCGCGAAAUUGUCUGGCCUUUCCAGAGGCCCGCUUCCCGACCGGCGCGAUCCAGCCAGGAGACUGCAUCCCAAAGCAUGCCGGGCCCUAUCUCACCCGACAAGCGGAGGGCCUCGGCUUCCCCGGUGGAUGAGUCCAGGGCGCGCUGCAUGUCCGCGACGUUGUGUUCGGCAGCUGCGAGGCGGGCGACUAAGUCGCUUUCGCCCGUAGCCGCCCCGCCGCUGCGCUUCCUCGCAUCCAGCUCCUUUUCUCGCGUCUCGAGGUUAGCAGCCUGCUGCUCCAGCGCGGCUCUCUCGGCGCGGAUGCAUUCCAGAUUGCGGCGCGCCUGCUCCUCCUGCGCUGCCUCGCGGAGGGAUAGGCUGUCCGCCAGCCGUUGUGUCGCGGCCUCGGACUCCUCAAGAGCUCGCUCCCGCUCAGCAAGCGCGUCCUCGCGGAGCCGGAGCGCGGACUCCUCUUCGGCGCAGGCGGCCUCGUGCGCCGCCAGCGUCGCCUCCCGGAUAGCGGCGGCGGCCUCGCGGUCCGCCAAGCUGGUCUCCACGGCGCCGGCAUGAUCUUCCAGCGCCAUGGCACGGGCUUCAAGGGCCUCUUCGCGCCGCCGGGACGCCGCUUCAGCCUCCGUUGCUCGCUGCUCUCGGGCAGCGGCGGCGUCGAGGACCCCCUGGGCGGCGUCGAGUUUUUUCUUUAGCUCCGCCUCCCAGCUCCCGUGUUGAAGGCGGAGGGAGUCCUGCGCCUCAAUCAUCGCAGUGGUGGCGACGAGGGCGGCCUCUCGCUCCUCCUCCACCUCUCGGGCGAUCUCCGCCAGCGCCGCCUUGCGGGCUUCAAGCUCCGAGAUGUGGCGGCGGUGAGCCUUACGGCCCACCUCCACCAUGGCGUCCACCGAGCGCCGCCCCUCCUCGACGCGCGCCCAUGCGGCCUCGAGCUCCGCUCGUUCCGCUCGCAAGGCCUCCACCUGGGCGCUGAAUCCAUCUAGCACCGCGGUGUUUGCGGCGGCCAAGGCUUGCAGAAGGGGCUCGGCACUCAGCGGGGUGGCAGAAGAAGAGGAGAAGAGCCGCCUUGGAGAAAAUGCGACGCGGCUCGGCCCGCCAGAAGACGCACUGAGCUCGGGAAUGUCCCCCGGACCCGUUUGGUCCUGGGCGUCGCCCGAGGGAGCGGGCCCAGGCGAUGCGCCCGCGGCCUUGUCGCAAGCCGCCCCGGAGGUUGUCGCCUGAGCGUCACCCGAGGGAGUGGGCCCGAGCGACGCGCCGGCGGUCUUGUCGUGAACCGCCUCGGAAGACGUCAUCGCCUCAGCCUGGCGAGCCCGGGCGGUUUCCUCCCGAGUGGCUUCUUCAGCCUGACGAGCCCGGGCGGCCUCCUCCCGAGCGGCUUCUUCAGCUUGGCGAGCCCGGGCGGCCUCCUCCCGAGCGGUAUCCUCCGCCUGCCGAACCCGAGCGGCCUCCCGGGCGGCCUCUUCAGCUUCCCGAAGGCGAUCUGCGGCCUCUCGCCGGUCAGAUUCUCGCCUCCGUUCCUCUGCGGCCGCCGGAUCUUCGGCCUCGGAUUGGCCGGACUUGGGAUGGCGGGAGGGACGCGACGGGACAUCGCUGAAGCAGAAGAAAAAACCAGAAGGCAAACAAAAUGGGUAAGGUAAAACUUGCUUUUGGGAUAGAAGAAAAGACGGUCGCAAAGAGAGCGGGACGAACCUGCGAGGGGGUCGGUUAAAUGACCACCUUGGAGGGGAAAUUAGGUUUCCCUGGGAUGGUUCUGUCUCCCCCAUCUUGCGCAGCCGUUUCUUCUUGCGCUCCCCCUCGGGCUGCGAUGUUGGCGCGGCCCCCUCCGGGCGCCUGCUGCUGGCACGCGCCGCCCCGCCCCCUCGGGGAGGAGAUGGGGGAGGUGUUCCUCCCAGUUUCCUCUUCCCCCGGGCGUCGGUAGGGCGGUUGCUCCCCGAGCCCCCGACGCGGGGCCCAGAAGCACGACCCCCUCCGGGGGUAGAUUGAUCCCCCCGGCGGCUCCCACCUGCGCCGCCAUGGCCCUUAGGAGCCUGCUCCUCUGAGGCCCCGACCGCCGUCAUAAUGGUCAAGAUGGAGACGCGAUCUGGGUCGCUGCAGAGGGGGAGGAUACCGUGGGGGAUGAGGGACGCCUCCACGGAGUUGAGAUUUAGCACCCGUUGGAUCAGUAUCUUGAAGUCCUCGGGGGCCCAAUCCCAUCUGACCCCCUGGUGGGUCCGCAUAUAGUCUUCGGGCCCGAUGUACUCCCAGGCGGCCCGAGCGCGCCGCUGGAGCGGCGCAAUCCGACGACGGAGGUAGUCGCCGUACACCAUGGCCCCGGUGAGCCCCUGGGAUCGCAGGCCCGCGAGGCGGUCGAGGACGGCGUCAUAGCCAUCCCCCAGAUCUACCGGCGCCCGCCAGCUGGAGGCCUGCACCGGGGGCUGGCUCGGAAGUCGGAGAUGCGCUUCGUCGGCGAGGGGGGUGUAGAACCAGUCGCUCUUCCAGUCAUCCCACUUUUUGCGGAGGACGCAGGGGAUGUAGCGGUUCAACACCGGCCCCCGCGGCAGGAAAUAGCAGCCGCCGACCACCGACGGCGGCGACACCGACUGCACGGUGAAGAACCACCGGAACAGCCGAAGAGAUGGGCGCACCCCAAUGAACAUCUCGCACAGGUGCGCGAAGAUGGCCAAAGUCAUCACUGCGUUGGGGGUGAGGUGCGCCAUCUGGAGAUCGUAGAACUCCAGAACAUCCAUAAAGAAAGAAGAAAAAGGAGGAACCAACCCGGCCAUUGCGAAGGGGAGAAAGAAGACGGACCGCCCCGGGUAGUCUGGCGCCGGGCGUCCCUCACCCAGCAUUACUAUCUCACGACCGGUGGCGGAUUCCGGCAUGAAGCGGCGCGGCAGCCCAGCCUGCCUCUCGCUCACAAUGCGGGAAGGCGGUAGUACGCUACCGUCGAGCAGAGCGGAGCCCCGUGCCAUGUCGUCGGAGAAAGAGAGGGUUGAGAACGAGUGUGUGUGGCGAAGGUGAGGCGCAGCAAAGAGAGAGUUAGGGGCGCAAACGGCGAAGGAAAGGGGAAUAGUGGCGAAAGGAAGGGAGCAAGUCCUUUCCUCGAUAGCUUUAUACCCUUGCCAUCGCUGAGCCCGGCUCCUCGUUUCUCGUGCCCACUAUCUCGCUCCCUCGUUACUCGCUAUCUCGCUCCCUCGUUUCUCGCGCCCACGCUUCCACUAAUUCCAUUCGCCCGCUUGCGGCGCAUAAGGUAGAUAUGUGGUUGUGGCAGUCGAGAUAGAUCGUAUCGUGUGUGCGUUAAUUACGCUCGCUGACCGAAGCGACGUUACCAUAUCUCCAGACGAAACGAAUCUACACGCCCAGAUUCGAGCGCUGCUCAAGUGAUGUGGCAGUCUUGAAGAGACCGCUCAUGACUGACGGCCAAGACACCGUUACCGAUAUGCGUGGUUUGAGACCGUUGGGUUUCUGCCCAAUCACGGAGACCGGUCCCACCUGUCACCAGGCUUUAUGAGUGGCGUCAUGCCCGACCGCUUCCCUUGAGAAGGAUGAUUGCCCUGACAUAACGCCGGGGGCUACUGUCGGUGAUAUGGGACCGGGAGUAUUGCGCCCGGAGGCUUGAGGCAGAUGGAAUCGCCCACGUGGCCUGGCACCUUCGGGGACGUCGGGCCCGAGGGUGAGGUGUCCGCCCUCCUCCUGAUUUCCCCGAGGGGGGGGGGGUCGGGUUGCUCCUGCCCCGACCCCGAGGGCCGAGGUGCCCCGACCCCCUGUGGGGUUUGCACUAUGUACAUAGGUUGGGUGAACACGGUAGGGCUCACCUAACCGCAUUUAUUGCGGUCUGGUCAAGUGUGUCACGUUGCAUGCAGCGCAAUGCAGCGCGCUCUUUUAUCCGGUCUGUGACCAGUCACAGACCGGUCGGAUCAACGGUUAGGUGGCGACUGGUGGUCUGACGCACGCCUCGCCCCGUCCCGUCAAGACGAGAGCCUCUAGGCACACGUCUCCAGCCGGAGCUAGCGUGUUACCUCUUAGAGAUGGCACGUUAGCCCUGGUUAGAUGAAUACCAGGCUUCAUCCCAACCGUUACAGGCAAGAUGCUACAAAAAGAAGGGUGAUCAUGCAGAUCGCUGAACUGACGCAUAGAGGACAAGAAUGACCGAUCUGUGACCGGUCUGACACUGGUCGCGUCAGCAACAGACAGCCACGAUCCCACGUUGCGCCUGUCUCCGCCGGGAGUGGAGGUAGGUGUGGGCUGUCCCAUCGAAGUGUCAUUCGGACGGCAACCAUACCAAGCUCCGUCAUCUUUUACAUGUGGUAUCCCCUUAAGAUAUAAAAGGAGGACCAUGCCCAGAGGGCGAGGGGGCUGGAUUUUCCCGGGAGAGGAGAGGGCUGGUUGAUAUUUUGUAACUUGCUCUUACACAGAUCCACCAAAAACACAGGAGUAGGGUAUUACGCUUCCCAGCGGCCCGAACCUGUAUACAUCGUCCGUGUCUCGCGUUUCUUCCUGGCACGCGAUCUUUCCACACACAGAGAGAGCUUGAGAUCUCACCCUAAGCCCCCGGCCGAACUGGCAAAGGGGGGCCUGCGCGGUCUCCCGGUGAGGAGCCACGAGCUCCGUCAACAUCUAAUGGCUUGCUAGCCACAUAAUUAAUUUCUCUCUACAUGUAUAUAAACAUGGACGAAGCUGGAAUAAAUAAUACCAUAUGCCCCAUGCAUAUAUAUAUUAUGUAGUUAAUAUUCUAAUUACAUGUGUUAAGUCCUUUAAAAUUUCUUAAAAUGCUCUCAAACUGCCACGUGGUGCUCUAAUAAAUUAAAGCAACUAUUAAAAAUUCUAAGAAAAAAAGCAAAAUAUCUAUUAUUUGAUUUUCACUUAAAUCGGUGUGUCCAAUAUUAUAAACCAUUAGAUUAAAUUGAUCUUAGAACAAACGAAAUACUACGAGGUUCCACCUCUCCGCCCUAGCAUAGGUACGCACCUACAUACGUGAGUACGUAUGCUUCCUCUCCCUUUUUUUCAUUUUUCCCUUUCUUUUUUUUCCAUGCAUGCGCUUUCCUCCCGUUCUUACUAUAUCAUGCGUCUUCAUGAGAUGAUUUAAUCAUAAGAAUUUUAAGUAUCUUGCUCUAUAAAUGGAUUGUAUAAUAAUUAACUUCCAAUAGUUUCUUAUUUACUUGAGAAAAAAAACAUGAUUCAAAAGUCAUAAGUACUUAAUCCAUCUCCUAUUCAAAAGUUUGUGAAUGGUUUUUUUAAGAUACUUUAAGAAAAAUAGAACCCUUAAAUUAUUAUAAAAUAACAUUAUCCAAACAUUAGUUUGCCCUUAAUUUAUAAGACAAAAUUUUCGAACAAACAAUAAUCUUAUCUUUCAAUAAUAUAAUGCCCGCGCAUCCGCGCGGGCCACCUUCCUAGUUGCUCUUAAAUUUCGAAGGCCAGCUUCAGUUAUGGCCGAAUUUGAGAAUGCCAUGGUUUUUUUCAGAUCAUAAACUGCACUGAAUGUACUAACUACCACUCUGUACGGUGAUAAUUUGGUUCAUGAAGAGCAAUACGUCAAUCCAUGUGCUCUGCAUACAUAGAGUCAUAUAUAAGAGAAGCCAUGAGACGUGAAGUAACCAUCACACAACAACAUAUUCAGGCAUUGUGCUUUGGCAGUUUAUUUGGAGACAUUAGAUAUCACAAAUUAACAUGGUUGUUUACUGCUAGUACUAGUUAUUAGCAGAGAUACACAUGAGGAUGGUUGGUUACUACACUAUCUACAGAAAGUUUGAAACCAAGCGAGGGUUAAUCAUGUGCUGUGGGGCAAUUGAUCAUGAGAGGCAUCUGGAAUCCAAUUUUGCCGAUGCCUCUGUCUCGAUGUUUGUAUUCAAAUUCUCGGACGCAUUUUUCACCAAAUUAUUGGCGGCGACCUCAGCGCUUGGUGGUUGUUCAUCCGGCCGUCAAGCUUGCCGCCUACACGGUUCCUUAUUGAAGAAUUGAAUGAUGUCGUGCAAAUUAGGAUGCUACUAUGUACUCAUUUUUUCCGUUCUUGCUGCUGAUGAUUCGGCCAAAUUAUGAGUUGAGACAAUGAACUGAAUAUGUCCUUCAGUGAGUAGGCAACAAUUCUUCAGAUAGCUUUUGCUGCAAUUUUGAUUUGAUUGGUUGAGAUGCUGAUGGAUUUACCUUCAUGCAGUUGGCACAUAUGUCUAGUCUUUGUGUCGAAGUGAGUUCAGCAUAUCAGCUGAUCAAUCUCUUGACAACUGGAGUACUUACCAAUCUAACAUUCAUUCGAUCAACAUGAGUUUUGUACUUUUGUUGCAGAUACAACAUGCGUGGUGAUGUGAGGGUAAAAAUACUUAAAUUGUACACAGCACCAUUAUUAAAAAAACUUAUAUUAGACCAUUAUUAAAAAAUAAACUGAAUAUGAAGGCUAAAUAAGUUUGUCUGCACCGAUUCGUAAUGUUUUUGUUUGAUUUCUCAAGGAGACGACGUCAAUAUUUAUUCAGAACCAGAUGACUUGUUGACUUGAUCACUUGAUAUGUUUGAUGCUUGUUGGCUUGUUGCUAAUAUAGCCUGAGCAGAACGAUGAGAUGUCAUAGUUGGACACCUCCUCUAAAUUUCAGAGGCCAAAGAUUGAAAGUGUCCCGCUAGUUUUUGUUUUCAGUUCAUAGAACUCUAUCGAAAAGCGUUGAUUACUCCCUGUACACUGACAAUUUGGCUCAUGAAGAGCAGUAUCUCAAUCCAUGUGCUCUUCAUAGUCCAUAUGAACAGAAAAAUAAGCCAAGCCUAUGAUGUCUGUCUCUGUCACACAACACACAAAUUCAGGCAUUGUGUCUUAGCAGUGUAUUUGGGGAUCACAGAUAUCACAGGGACACAAGAACACGGUUGUUCACUACUAUCCGUGGGAAAAAAAAAGUGAGAAAACCAAGUUAGGACUAAUCAUGCACUGUGGAGCAACUGAACGUGAGAGGCAUCAGAAAUUCAGUUUUGCCAAGGGGCCGAGGUCAAAUAUGUUAGUGACCUGAGUAGCACCCUAAGGUUCUGAGUUCAAAUCUCCAUAGGAGCGAAUUUCAGAUUGGGUUAUUUGAGGGCUAAGUUUCCUAUUUGAUAGGCUAAGUUCCUAAAAAUUAAAAUGGUUGCAUAUAUCUGAUUGGAUAUAGAGGCCGGGUAAAAAAAUACCCUUCUCUAAAAAAAAUAUAUAAAAAAAGUCAUAAGAAACACCCGGGGGUCUAUAGUGCUAGCCGACCCGGGUUUGAGCCUCACCUCUCUCUGAAUAAAAUUCGAUAUGAGAGCCCUUCCUCACAUAUCCAGCAUUUUUACAUAUGCCAGUCAUCAUCUGUAAGUAAUACAAUUGAGAGUUUUGAUCUAACCACUAUUUACUGAGUGUGAGGAUGCAUCAAUAUGUUGAUCUCUAAUUAUUCAGUGUUAUAAAGAAGAGAUUUUUUACUGUCCAGCAGAAUGUACCGGUCGGUACCAAAAAUCAUCCAACCGUUGAAUCUGGGAUCGGGAGAGAAAAAUGGUGCGCCUUCUCCUUCGUUGCGCCUCAACCACGGCCUACUCCGGCGCCGCCACCGGAGCGGCUCCUCGGCCGCUGCAACCGCAUACUCCGCCGCCGGCUCAUCCGCCUCCGCCUCCGCUACUGCCGACGAUGCGGAGGCCGAUCUCGCGGCGCCGAAGGAGCGGAAGAGGAACGUGGCAGACACUGUGACGACGGGGCGGAAGAGGAACACGGCGGCGUUGGAGCGGGAGAGAAACACGGCGGUGGCACGGAAGAGGAAUACGGUGGCGGCGGAUCGGGAUUUCUAGGGUUACAGUCUAUUCUCAUUGCACGCAAAGUUACGUUUUUACCCUUCCACCUUAGUUCUCUGCGUGGUACUGCACCAGGGACAGAAUUGGUAUUGCUCGGUACCAAACUCUACCAGCCGUUGGAUCGGGCCAGAUCCAACAGCCAGGAUUUUGGUACCGGGCGGUACUGGUACCGACUGCUGUACCGUAACAACGCUCUAUAAAUAAACUCUAGCAAUACGAAUAAGUGGUUGAAGAAAGAAAUUUUAACAUUAAACAGCUCUGGGAAAUGAUGAAUUCUCAGAGAAGAACACAUUAUACUGCACUACCACACAUAAAGUUUAUGCGUUUUACUUCAAGGCAGAUAAUCUUAAAUUAUUUCUGCAGAGACAAUAUAUUUCCAGAGAAAAAAACAUAUUAUAAUACAAAUGAAAUUUAUAUGCUUUACUUAAGACUGAGAAUGCAUCAUGUUUUUGCAGUCAUUGUGGCAAUGUAAUAGAGAGCUAGAAAUAAGGGGCCUCACAUCCAUCUCUGUCGUCAGUAAUGAAGAUUAAGGACCGGAGAACCAUGUUUGCAAAGGAUUGUUGAUCAAGACGUUUGAUUAAAAAAAACAUUCUUGAUCAAGAGGAGACACUGCAAAUGAAUUUGGGAAAUGUUUUAUUGCUCACUGCUGAAUGUUCAGAGGUUGUCUGGAACUAGGUAUACUCGAUUCCGUACUGAUAUUUUUGCGGAGUUCUGUCAGACAAAAUAACCCAAUCUAACAUUCGAUCAACAUGUGGUCCAUUGCAAAAUACAACAUGCAUAUGAUGAUCUGAGAGUACUAUGUACACACCUUUUGCACAGCCCCAUCAUAACAAAGAAAAAAAAAGAUGUAAAGGUGAGCACUGAGUAGAUAGAAAGAUGAACUCAACACAAGUUUGUCUGAACUGUACAUCUUUCAUGUUCUGCUUGAUUUUGGAUCCCCUCUCAUUCAAGUUGUAAACGUGAAUGAUUCAAGAACUUUCACUGGCCAUGCUGUCUGGUGCCCUGUUUUCUUCCAUGUCGGAGUCUUCCAUAGGAUCCUCUGACUGGAAAUUUGAAAUAAAGUACUUGUUAACACAAAUAGAUAUAUAAAAAUCAUGGUAAGACAGGUAUAGUAGGUAGCUGGACAAGGCAACUAGUAAAUAAAAAUGAACCUUUGUAAGGUAUAUGUAUAUAUAUGUACCUGUUGCUCCUCUUCAUCAUCCAAGACCAUUUUAUCUUCAUCCGAUCUGCGCAUUUCAAGGGUUGGAUGCUUGGGAUGGAUGUCGGCUACGUGCCUCAGCACAUUCUCAACCUCCUCCACCUCCCAUUCUACAGCAUCCUCACACAACAGAUCAAUGGUGACUUCCUCGAUCGAAGCCAGGUUCCCCAAGCCAACAUCAAAAUUGAUAUCCUCAGAAUCUACCACGUUGAUGUUGAACUCCAGUUUUCUAACCUUUGGCAUUGCUCCUGGUUGGAACACCAGCCCACAAUAUUGAAUGAAUGUGCAGUCUGUCAGAGAUGGGAAUGCACCAGCGCCAAUCACAAGCCAUUCACUUUCUCUGUUGAUCUGUAUCCAAAGAACCUGAAGAGCCGGCAACCUCCCAAGUUUCUCGACAUGCUCCUGACGCAUGUCGCAGAUGGACAAGUCCAGAAAGGAAAGGUAUGGGAGAUCUAUCGGGAAAUUGAACCACACAGGUAGUACAGUGAAGAAAUACAUGGGUUUUAUCCCAAGUACAUGAAUGUGUUGGGGAAGGUCCAAGAACUCUGGUAGGGAAUCCAAAUGGACGAUUCCAUGUACUCCCCGCAGAAUUAGACGGCGGAGUUUGUGUAGAUUGCACAAUACCUCACCGAGAAUUCUCCCGAUGCUCGAGACCUCAGACGACCACACCUGAAUUGUAAGAUCUCUUAGUUCUGUCAGGUUACCCAAUGCUUUUAGCAAGCUGAAGGAGUCACCAUUAACAUCAAUAGAGGAUGUUCUUCGAAAAACAUCUACCGGGGACAACUCCAGCAGUGAUGUCAAUUCACCAAUCCUGUCUGACAGUGAUAUAUUUUCAGGAAAAUAUAGGAACAUCAAUCUUCUUAGCUGAUAAAUAGCCGGUGGCAGUUCUUUUAUACUACGACUUCUAUGCACGUCUAGAGUCUGCAAAAACUGAAGAUUUCCUAUCUCAUUUGGGAGCUUAGUGAUACAUCCACAGUGUAGUCUCAGGUACCUUAGGUGAAAUAAGUUCCCAAGAUGCUUAAGGUGGUAGCUCUCCUCAAAAUGACAAUUAUAUAAAUCCAACACACGUAAAAUUGGAAAGAUUGUAAUUGCCGGCGUCAUAUGAACAUCUGCGCGAAGAAGAGAGAGGAACCUUACUUUUGGCACAGUAGCCUCUGGUAUAGUGUGCACUACAUUGCAAUCUCGGAGGGAUAUCCGGUGAGCUUUACUGAGUGAAGAUGCGCCUCGCUCCUGAUCCAAUAUGGUAACAAAAUUCUCCUCAUUUGAGAGGGAAAGGAUGAGGUCAAGCACCAUGUCAUGCACUCGACAAGAUAUUAUUGCGUUGUCAUACCCAUCUUUGUAAUACAUAAAGUCAUUUUCAUCCCAAGGUUGAAUCAUGCUUCUAUUUAUGAGCUCAUAGAAAUAAUUCUCUCCUAGCUCAACCAGCACAUCGUCCUUUUGAUUUGUUGUUUUUUGGACAACACCUUCGGCUAUCCACAUCCGUACCAAAUGGUCUCUACUAAUUAUAAAAUCUUCUGGAAAUAUACUUAGAUACAGUAAACAUGUCUUGAGGUGACACGGUAGAUCAUAAUAGCUAAAAGACAAUAUCUUUGUCAUGUCCUCAACCUUGGGCUCUUCGGUAAGUCCGCGACCAAUAGAAUUAAACACAUCAUGCCAUUGAUCCCUUGUUUGUACCUGCUUGUUGGCUAAGAGACUAGCUAUAGUUAUAAUGGCUAACGGCAUCCCAGCACAUUUCUUCAAUAUACCUAUUGAUACUUGUUCCAGUUCUGGAGGACACCCAUUAUCAUGCUUAAAUAUCCUUUUGUAGAAUAGCCUUUUGGAGGCAUCAUCAGAAAGAGGCUUCAUCCUAUAAAUUGCAUCAUCAUGAGAGCAACAUGCUUUAGAAACUGUAACUUUGCGUGUCGUGGUUAUUAUUCGACUGCAAAGCUUGUUUCUGUAGAAAGCACACUUGAUAUAUUCCCACAGUUUUUCAUCCCAUAUAUCAUCAAUUAUGAUGAUGUACCUGUAUGUUAUUUUGUCAAGCAUAUAUAGUUAGCAAUAUGAAGGCAUAUAUAACUAAUUUGUUUUCAAUUUUUGUAGUAAGCUGUUAGUAAGUUAUCUUUGGGAAUGUGUAUACCAACACUAAUACCACUACAACUUAAUUUGUUGUUGCUGGAGAAGAAGGGGACCUCACCAGUUUCCUCAUGUGCAUGAAUCUUUGAGGAAAGUUAAGUGUUGCGAAUGCGAGAAACUGCAGAUUGUUUCAAAUUCUUUCCCUUAAUUCAUUUGCGCUAGUACCUCAAUCAUGGAAAUUAAAAUGGACACUACUGUAUUUGUGUGGAGUGAUGACUAGCUACUAUUGUGUAGCAGAGUACAUACCUUUUGUUCUGAACAAAAUCUCGAAGUUCAUUAAUAAGGAGGCGUUCAUCCAUCCUUGAGUUAUGAAUGCUAAUAUACCGCUGCCUAUCAAGGUCAUAUAUCAUGUCCGUCAAAACUUUCUUCAAGUCAGGAUUUUGACCCACCGAAACAAAAGCCGCGCAGUCGAAUUGGCCUCUGAGCUUGUCAUACACAACCUUAGCAAGAGUCGUCUUGCCCAAUCCUCCAAAUCCAACAACGGACACGAUAUUCAGUUGGUCGUCGUCUGCAGGCCUAGACAACAUGCCGAUCAGCUCAUCUCUGGCCUCUUCGAUGCCAACAAGCUCUGUGAUAUCCUUGUAAAGAGCAAGGAUCCGGGGAUCCACGGUGGCCGUAGCCGGAGUCGUUGCAGCAGCUGCUGCAUCGAACUUGUACCUUGCUCGCAGCUCUGCCACCUCAUCUGCAAGCUCCUUGAUGUCACAGAUCCCUUCGGCGAUCUCACGGCGAGCUUUCCCUUUCCUGAUCAGAUCACUCGUCUUGCGAAGGAUCCUCUUGAAGAAUCCCUGGUUGAUAGGAUCGACAAGGUUGCUGCCCUCUGCGACACGCACGACAAAGGCGUCGAUGGCAUCCUCGAUGGCAUAUGAUAGCUCCCUGACAUUAGAGGCCCAGAGCUUGACAUCGAGCUCUACCAUCUCCCUUGGAACCUUGGCAACUCUCUCGAGGGCGAUGUGCAUCGCUGCGAGCUCCCGGGAGAGGGACUCGACGUCGUUCUUGACGCCCUUCUGUAGCUUGUACUCCUCCUUGAGAAGCUCAGCUAGCCUUGGGAGCACGCUGCCUAUGGCACCCAUGGCGAGCUCCAUGCUGGUGGGAGAAGGAGCUUUGCUUGUGGAGUGAGGAAAGUGAAUGCCUGGAGCUGGAGGAAGAAGAAGGAAGAAAAUUGGUGGUGGAUGGAAUCUUGGCAAAGUGAGAGUGCCUGCGAGAUGUUGCUGAGAAACUUCAUUUUUUCUAUCACUUUGUGGAAAGUUGUUAGAAAGAGACAUGCACUGCAUCUUCUCUCUGUUUACUCAUUGUUAUUAGAAAGAGGACAAGGAGUUUCAGCAACCCGUUGCUCAUCAAGAUUCGCGCAGAACAUACAGUACACUAGUUGGUAAAGCUGUUUUUUUUUUAGCAAAUACUUGGUAAAGCUGUUUUAUUCCGUUUUAUUUGUGCUGUCAUGGAUUCCUCAUUAAAAUUUGAGAAAAUUCCUUGCGUGCCCCUGGAAAGUUGGCAUUGAAGAGAUCACAGAGCUUUAUGUGCAUAUGUAUUUGUAAAAGAGAGAAAUGUGCAAUUGUAUUUAUUAAUGGAAAUGAUUUUUUUUUGCAUUUGUAAUGUGCAAAUGUAAUUUUGUAUAGUUGUGCAAACAUAUAUAUUUUUCAAAUGGCUAUUGUCUGUAUAAAUGUGCAAAAGGAGAUGAAGGUUCAAAUUUUUAAGAGAAAUUUUCUUCUAUGCCCCUGAUAAGGGAUCAAGAUAAAAACAGAUUUUGUAGAAAGCACACUUGAUAUAUUCCUACAGUUUUCCAUCCUAUAUAUCAUCAAUUAUGAUUAUGCACCUGUAUGUUAUUUUGUCAAGCAUAUAAGGGAUCAAGAGAAAAUAGAUCUCUCUUGUAUGCAAAGCUAACGGCAGGGGUAUGUAAGGGAUCAAAUCAAAAUUUCAGGGAUAUGGGUGAGAUUAAAUAAAUUUUAGAGGUAGACUAAAAUAACUUUAUUUUUAGCCUCCAUCCUUUAUUCCGAACUAAGAUAGGUUUUAUUCCUUUAAUACCCUUUAACUACACUUACUUAUUCACCCAUCAAUACUAUGUACUUUCACAUUUUUAUCUCAACCUCAUUUUUCAUACCGAGAGUCAAAGAUGAUGUUAUUUUGAAAUGAAGGUAGUACUUUUUCAGAUACAACAAUAAUUCAAUGCUGACCUCUGAGUAUGAAAAACUUCUUCAUUUCACUCAAUCAUUAAUGUUCCAUCUUCUAAUCAAUAUCGGUGAAUCUACACUAGUGACACAACAAUAGGCCAGUUAGAACUCCCCAAUAAACAUCGCUGAUUUAUGUUACUGUUGAUGCUCAAUAAAUGGUUCAAUCAAAGCUCAAGCAGGAACCAUGGUGAUAUAAAAUUCAUUCAGUGGAAAGGAACGCACAGACGGAGAUGAUGAACAGAAAACUCCAUUUUCGAACCUGCUAGUAUGAAAGCCUCUACUGAGCUUGUAAGCAUAGAAGCAUUAGGAGUGUAUAGCCAGCUGUUGUUUUUGGAGAUGUUGCAUGUAAUUAUCUAUAGUUCGAAAACUGAGCGAGUAUUAAUCAUGCCUGCACACUAGAUGAAAAUUGGGCAUGAGAGGCAUCCGGAAUCUAGUUUUUACGUAGACUUCUUCUCCAUUUCAGAUUAUAAGUCGUUUUGACUUUGAUCAAAGUUAAACUAUUUCAAGUUUGACUUUGAAUUAAAAUUAUUAAACUACUUCAAGUUUGACUGAGUUUAUAGAAAAAAAUACUACCUCUAUCCCAUAAUAAUUUUAAUUCUAGAAUUUGAAUUUGUCCCAAAAUAAUUAUCACAGUAAAGUAUAAUGGUCCCAUUAAUCACUUCUCAUUCAAACUUUUCCCUAUUUUACCCUUAACUAACAUUCCACUCUUACCUCACCAUUUAAUAAGGACCAUCAUAGUAUUUCUUCUCAAAUCUUAAUAUAUGCUAAAUAAACUAGAAUUAUAAUUUAUAUGUGACGGAGGGAGUAGUAAUAUUUUUAAAGUUUGACUAAGUUUAUAGAAAAAAGCAGUAAUAUUUUCAACCCCAGAAAAAUAUAUUAUGAACAUAUAUUCAAUUAUCGAUUUAAUAAAACUUAUUUAAUGGUGUAAAUAUUAUUAUAUUUGUCUAAAUAUAAUAAUAUUUACAACAUCAAAUAAAUUUUAUUAAAUCUAUAACUGAAUAUAUAUUUUUCUUGGUUGAAAAUAUCUCUAUUUUUUCUAAAAACUUGAUUAAACUCGAAGCAACUUUAAUAUUUACCAAAGUCAAAAAGAUUUGUAACACGAAAGUGAAAGGGAUGGAGUAUCCAUAUACGAGAGAAGCCCAGAAGUGCCGGUAGGCCCAGAGAACUAGUUGGAGUUGCAUCAAUCGCAAUAGUAGCGACCCAAUCCUGGCCGUCCAUAUUGAGCAAGGGGUUCAUAAAUCAUAAUAUGAAAGUCUUCCUACUGUAAAUGAAUUAUUGCUAUCAGAAAGUGAUUAAUCAGUGCUGAUUGCUGAAUAUUCGGACUUCCACAGAAUGUUUGCAGGUACACUUUGAUUCCGAGUGAUCGAUAUACCUUGAUGAUGACUCUUGCUCAUUCUAAUUGAUGGUUAGGGUAGCAUUAGCAGUUGGAUUCCAUAAAAAAGUUACCAUAUUCGCCUAUGUAUUAUGGUUCAUGACUUGCAGUCUCGCACACCUGGAACACCACAAAACUGUAUAUUUGCGGUCUCCUUCAAAAACCAAUUCAAGUUCACGAUUAGUUUAUUUGCUGAAUUUCUUUAGAAAGCUAACUUUGCCAUUCGGCCAAGCGUAUCAUUCUACCACGUGGUGUGUUCGGAACUCCAAGUUCCCAACUCCCUUACUUCGUUUUUCGCGCGCACGCUUUUCAAACUGUUAAACGGUGUAUUUUUUUAAAAAAGUUUACAUACAAAAGUUGCUUAAAAAAUCAUAUUAAUCUAUUUUUGAGAAAAAAAAAUAGCAAAUACUUAAUUAAUCACGUGCUACUGGACCACUCCGUUUGGGUUGAAAACAGUUUCGUGGUGGUUUCCAUCUACUAUACUAGUUAGCACCCCACGUCUUUGCCGCGGGUUUCGUAGUUUUAUCGUCAAACAAAAUUAUAGUUUUAAAUGGUUAGGUGCAAAAGGCAAGAAUGUACCAUUCUUCAGAACAUGUUCAGACUCAUGUGUCGCAAUACCUACUUAAUCAUACAUAGUAAUACUUGUUUGGACACAACAAUAGUUAAAUGCUUUGCCUUUGAGAAUGAGAAAUGUUUCCACAUUUCACUCAAAUCAUCAUUCUUCUUCUUAUCAACAUAUCAAGCAGAGCAAUUCUGCUUCUUGUCCUGACAAGAAGCCUAGCAUCGCUGCUUUGCGUUACUGUUGAUGCUCGAUAAAUGGUGCAUAUACUCAAACGGUUAGCUGGAACACAAUGGUGCUAUAAAUUCAUCUGGUCGAGAGGAAUGGGUAGAUGGAGAUGAUGAACUUUUUUUGAACGGAAAACGGCACAAGAGUGCGCCUUUUCAUUGAAUAUAGAAGGAGAAAAUACAACCCCUAAGGAUAAAGCAAAAAAGACUUUAAGCUAUAAACUAUACAAUGUGUGGGACGAAUUCGCACAAUCUUUUUGCCCCUGCUGAUGGAGAUGAUGAACUGAAAGCUCCAUUUUCAAACCUACUAAAUGAAAGCCUCUGCUGAGCUUGCAGUAAGCAUGAGAAGCAUUGGGAGUAUUGCCACCAGUUGUUCUUGGAGAACUGGCGUGUAAGUAUCUAUAGUUCAAAACAUCACUAUACAUUUAUGUUUGUUCUUCCAAUCUCAGCCGCUAACAAUGUACUACAAAUGCAAUGUUUUCAGGAGCAUCUUUGCCCUUCUCCUCUACCUCUUUCAGCCGUCAUCUGUAUUAUUCUCUUCUUGAACCAAGUUGAUGCAGCUAGCUAGUGAUUUAAAGAACUGUACAUGGAUUUCGAUCGUGAGAUGGUGCUAAUGCGUUCCUUGGGUUAGUUUAGUUGAGUAUUAGAGUCUGACUGAGGGUGGUAUACUGGUUUGUCUCUGUUGUUUGGAAGAACAGUGUGGUAAUUGAGUCCCCAUUCUUUUGUACUUUCAGAGUUUCAGUAAAGAUAGAAUUUCGAAUAUAAUCGUGAGAUCUAGCUCCUUAAUGUGAAAGGAAAAAAAAAUAGAAGGUCCCAUUACAUGGCUGCACAAGAAGGUUUUAACCGUUCUCUAAUUAAAUAUAUAGUAAAUACAUAAGCUAAGUGUGUCUUUUGAUAGUAUCAGCAGAUGCCCAGUAGGAAUUUUUUUCCAUUUCCUUAAAAAAGAGAAAAUCUUCUCGUUUUCCACAUAUUGCUGAUUUAUAUGGGACAGCUCACCCAACUAUACAUUUUAUUUGUCAGUAGCUAGCAUUAAUACAGUAGUUCAACUCUUUUAUUUCCUAGUACUUGUUAGAUACCUUUUAUUUUUCAUACUGUUAUGAUUUCGCCCAAAAUGCGGUUGACCCAACAUUGGUUACUACACCUCUGUUAUAGCUAUGUCAAUUCUAGCAAUACAAAUUGAUGCUUUGUUCUGGUGAAAGUGUAAUACCAGUCCAAAGUACAAACCAAUGCAUGUGCUCUUUGCCUGUCACAACAAUACAAGUUCAGCUCAGUCAGUAGGACGUUAUGUACAAAGUGUGCAGUUUUGGUACUUCAAUCUCACACUCUUACUCAAGGUUGAGAAUAUGCGGGGAAAAAAAUGCUCGUUAUGAUAGUUUAUUAUUAGUUAGUAGAAUGCCAUGUCAUGAUUUGUUUAGCACUUUAUAUAGCUUGCAUUUGCUGGAGAUAGUGGCAUCUUUCCGAGGCUUGAGAAACAUCGGGAAUACAUAAGAGCUACGAUGGUAUCAGAGAUGGAGUCGAUCAUCUCUUCAAAGGACAAUAACAUACGGUAGAAGAUUUUCAGCCCAGUGGAGAAUAACAUUUCUUGAUUUCUUCCCAUUUCAACUACAACAAAUUAAUGCAACUUGGUAGCAUUUCUGGCCUGGCCCUUAUCAGCUCGAUCAACAAUGCUACAACGACAUAGCGUACGCAAAAUCAAAUGCAAGCUGUAGCAACAGACUUUUUUUCUGCUGCAUCUUGAUUCCAAUUUAUUCUUCCACUUGUGGAGCAGUUAAAGGAUUCCACUAGCCUUGUCAAUCGUCCUGAUUUCUCUCUAAUUCAUCAUGAACUCCGGACACACAUAUAGGAAAUGUAUAUUGCAGAUUGGGAUGGGAAGCACAGGGAAUUCAGGCAUGUCGUUGGUUAGGUUUGAUCUUACAAUUUCUUAUGUUUCUUGCAUGGCGCCAUUCAAUGACAGCUUUACUACCAUCCUUCGAGGAACAAAAUCAUGUGGUGUUCAUUGUAGCAGCAUGCACAUAUGUCUACAACUUGUGUCUUAAGCAUGAUUAAUUUUUGAAGUCUACGAGUGGUUGCACACAAUCAUUCAAUCUUGAUGACCCUACUUUCUGAACAUGUACUUAAGUAGUUUUCAGCCACACUGAAAGGUAGAAGUGCUGCAACAAAUUAAACUAGCUAAAAAUAUACUCCCUCCUUCCCUAAAUGUUUGACGCCGUUGACUUUUUUAAAUAUGUUUGACCGUUCGUCUUAUUUAAAAACUUUUGUGAAAUGUGUAAAACUAUAUGUAUACAUAAAAGUAUAUUUAACAAUAAAUCAAAUGAUAGGAAAAGAAUUAAUAAUUACUUAAAUUUUUUAAAUAAGACGAAUGGUCAAACAUUUUGAAAAAAGUCAACGGCGUCAAAUAUUUUGGGAUGGAGGGAGUAUAAUAGGUUACUGACAAUGAAACAAAUUUCUCCUUUUAUUAUGUGGAUUGCGAUGAGUAAUUAAUCUGCAAAUGGUCCGAACCAUAUGCUGGAACUAAAGUCAAGAUGAACAAUCCAGACAAUUGAAUGCGUAUAAAUUAAGAAACUAGAUAGAGAGGCAAAGAUAGAUGUAGAAGCACAUGCAAUGGUGCCAUCUCGAUAUAUAACUUGUUGAACAGUGCUUGCUACUCCAAGAUCUUGUGUGAUUUUGCUCUAUGGGCGCUUGUGAUGUUGAUAGAUUUGCUUGAGAUUUCCACAGGGGGUUUUUUCUUCUUCUUUUGGAGGCUCCAAAUUAGAAGAUGCAUGCACUUUGAUGAAAACUACUCUAGCUAUCCAAAGCUACAAACUGAUUUGAUCUUGUUCGUCAGAGUCUGCUAGCUUGUGGGAGUGAGAGGCGUCAGGGACGUGGCUAGAUGAUCUGAUGAGUAGUCCGCGAGCUUCGCUCCUGUAGUCAAAGUAGGCCAUUUUGAUUUUUGAACAAACUUUGUCAUGUCUAGGUGAAAUUAGUAUGUUUUAAUUUGAUUAAAGCUAACUUUUCACUAAUUAGUAUGUAUGCUCAAACAAAGAUAAAAUGUCACAUGUGAAUGUACAGUACAUUGGAUAUCUAUCAUGCGUGCUGACGUCUACAAUUGCACAUUGUAUAUUUUCUAAAUAUAUCGAUCACGUGCUUUUCUUUAUCAUGAACAUACACACAAUUUCUGUGUAUUGCUACUCAGACAUAUCCAAUUAAUGGGCUCUGUAUUUUAACACAUACCAGAAUGUAGAGUAUCUUGCAAUAGGACUAUAAAAACAAGCCAAUUCCAUCCUUACAUAGCUAGCAAGCCUAUCCAUGUCCACACCAAUUGGAGGAAACGAAAAAGAUCAAAAUAAUAUAACAUAUAUACACGUAUAUAUUAUUAGAUGUUCAAGGAGCUAGAUUUUGGAGCUCUGAAUUCUAUGUGCAUAUAUGUAGGUAGAAUGUUCAAUAUAAUUGUGAAGGAUGGUGGACAUGGGAGGCUUUGGGAACUAAAUUACCUAGCAUCAUGAGAGAUACAUCUCUUUGUGCUAAUUUGCAUCAUUUUAGAACAGAUCAUAGCACCGUAUGCAUCUCCAAUGAUGGGGGCCGUCAAUAAGCACGUGUGCGUUGGGCAACCGAAUAGGGCUUCCGAAACAGGUGUCUCCGGUUUUUUCAUAUUUUAGUUCAUGGUAAUGCGUUUUAAAGAUCUCUCAUUUCAUUUUUAAAAGUUUCGUUUGUCCUCUUUUACUGAUUUGGUUAGAACGGGUUUAUAUUCUCCAGCUUCAAUAAAAUGCUAGGUGGCAAUCAUGGUCACCUCAAAGAACUAUUACUCAUGAGAUGACGAUGUAAUUAUGGCCACAUCAAAUAUUCCAUUUCCCCGCUUAACCAAAAUAAAUCAUUGCAUCAAGACACGACUCAUCUUGGAACGAAGUGAAAAAGUGAGUCUAUGCCUUGUGCAACUUUUGUGAAUAUCUAAGAGUCCGAAGUAAAAAUCUAUUAUUUUGUUUCUUCGCAUUUUCUAUCUACAGGCCUUCGAUCAUUUUAUAUUUUACAUUGGGGCCUCAAAUUCUUGGAUAGGGCUCUUGUCCAAUGUCGUGUCAAAUAAAUGAGCCUUACCCUCUCGAGGUUAGUCCAAGUCGAUUGGCAUACUUAGGGGAUAUUGACAUGGAGCAGACUUGCUAGCCUAGAUGAUGCAUAUUGGGUCGCUACAGCAUAUGGUGUGUUCGAUUGCCCAGGUUGGCAAAUCUUUUUAUGAGAUCAAAUCAAUGUGUGUCAUACAGAACUUCACCACAUUUAUCUCUCGAGUUAUAAAAAGAAAUAAUAUGUGGUAUAAUUUCAAUUUAGAUUAGCUUACUGACCAAGUCAGUCAUGCAUCUUCUUCUGUUAUGCUGGAUUCUGGAAGGCGACCUCUUUGCCUCUGCGGUGGAUGAUGAGUGUGUUGUUGCAGUGAAAAAUUAGUCACCAUGUUACUUUGAAUGUGAUUCAGAUUCGGAAGCAGAAGAGAUUCCACUAGCAUGAACUUGCUAUAACUCUCACACAAUUAUCUGCAGCCGUACUGCAAAUAUAUUUCGAUUAAUCACAAGUUGUAACACAUGGUACAUUUAAUUUUGUGGGAAGUAGCAGUGGUGGAGUAGUUUUGGAAUAUGUGUUGUUCAUGUUGCAUUGUAUUUUCCAGAGCAUUUAAUUCUUUCGAUGAGGUGUUUGCGGUACACUAAAGUGAAUCUAAUACUUCCUCGAUUUCAUAUUAUAAGUAGUUUUGAUUUUUUUUAAGUUUGAUAAAUUUUAUAGAAAAAUAUAGUAGUAUUUUUAACACAAAACAAACGUUUUAUCAAAAUGUAUUCAAUACUAGAUUUAAUGAAACUAAUUAAAUAUUUUAGAUGAUGUUAAAUUUUUUAAAAAAUAUGAAAUGGAGGGAGUAGGCCCUUUUUCUUUUCAUUUAGUUCUCAAAGUCCUGUUUUUGGAUUGUGAUUUCCACAAGGCAGUAAAAGAAGUGGUAUAUAUUGCUGUAUUUUCUCAAGUACCAUAAAAUUUAACAAGCUAAUAAAUAGAGGUAAUAUAAGAGUCGUGGAGGGUGUGUGCUUAUAUAUGAACUCUACCGAACUACAUAUAUAUCCCAUUGGUACAACCCAACGGGCAAAGACAAUCCAAACUCAUAAGCUAGCUAGCUGCAUAAAUCAGAGUGGCUACGUAAUGUACCGACCGAAUAUGGGCCGUAAUAACUUGUACAUGAAACAUGGUUGCGCAUUACUAGAGAUGGGAUAGCUCCCGUGCGCCAAAAACACCAGGGAACAGGCAAAAUCCACACGGUAACAACGUUACCGAGUACCACCGCACGGUAACAGACAUACGGCGGCUUCAUCGGUUUCCCGUGCGCACUUCCAGGGUGUUUCACGAUUUUGCGCACGGCAUGGCCCAAACCAUACUGUGUGUGCUUAAACACACGGGAAGGUUCCCGGAGCAUUCUAUGUAACGGAGUCUUCAAACGGAACGGCGAUAGAUUAGUUCUUGGUUUUGGCUUGGGAGACAUCGGAUUGUAUUUCGAUCCUACAAUUUACAUGAUGCAUACAUAGCAUUUGGCGAUCGGUACAUAAAUCGUCGACCUCACUCCUCUUUGGCAAUUGGCAGGGUUAAGUGGGAUCCAUGCCAGCUCAAUUGUUUGUCACUACUUUAUCGUCUUUCCAUGACUCUCUUUUCUGUGUGGGCGAGUGUGUGUUUUUGGUGGCUAUAAGCUAUAACUUUUCAAAAAAAAAUGGAAGCUUUCAUUGAACUCAAUAGAUUACAUCGAGUGGUUAUAUAUAUAUAUAUAUAUAUAUAUAUAUAUAAUAUUGAGAACAUUCUCGAUCUCUACGUAAUUAUGAUAUACAGUAAAAAAACUAAUACAUUUUCUCAAGACGGCUGAAAAAAAGUUCAUGAAAAACCCAUGAACACCCUCUCCAAACACAAACAUGCCAAGGACACCAACCUUGCAUACUCAGCUUCUGGAAUAGAUAUAACCCACCUUGGUUGUACAAGCAAACUAUUCUCUUCGUCUCAAUAUAAGUGCAAUCUAAUAUGGAUAUGACAUAUUCUAAGACUAUGAAUCUAAAUAGUUGUAUGUCCGUAGUCGUAAGAUAUAUAUAUAUGUGUGUGUGUGUGUGUUACAUCUGUACUAAAUUAUACUUAUAUUGGAAUGGAGGGAGCACUAGAUUAUGCAUGAAGGGCCUAUUAUAGACUAAGCCCAUAUAAAGGGUUGUAGAAUACAAAUUUCCUACUUCUCCUAGCAAGGCAUGUUACAUACCAAAUUGCCUACUUCUCCUAGCUAGAAUACAAAUUUGUAUGACAUAACCAACUUAAAAUAUCAAGGGAUAGAGGGAGUAUAUCUAUAUGGUGUGCCAUGAAGGCUAGCCUGAGUUAUUCUUCCAUACAUUACUCUGAUUUAGAAACAAGUUAUCCUGAUUUAGACUUGGAAGUCAUCGGGAAUAUGGAUGACUCAUCCUAAAGGAAUCAUGGUAAUUAACUUCUCGACAUGCACACUUGUACAUAUUCCUAGUGCAUUUGCUCCGUGCACUUUCAAGGAUCUUUUUGAUGCUGUCUAACUAACUCGUUUCAUGUUUCAUGUUUUAUCUUAAUUGUAGCUGACAUAAGAGCUCAAUGUUGUGCAACUUGGUUUCGUAGCGUCAAAGAUACACAUGACGAAACAAAUGUCGGAUAUUUUCCAUCCAGUUAUGUUAGUUGUGAUUGUGGAGGCUGAGCAUCCCAACCGAGAUGUUUCUAGAUCUAGAGUUUCAUUUUGGAAGAACUAUUUUCACAAACCGAGAAGUCCUGCUCAAAAAAUUGACUGCUUUCCUUCCUGACUUUCCAGAAUGGUUUGUGCUAGCUAGUUCGACUGCUCGAGCUUAAUUAACUAGAGGAUGGAUAGGCCUAUGUCAUUUCUGAUAUUCAUGUAUAUAAGCACUACUUUUUAUUUAGCCGACAAUGGAAGAGAUUAUCUUUGCAUUUCUGCAUGUUCAUUAGAAAUGGUAGUGAAUUGAUGAGUGCUUCAAAUGAAGUUACUAAAUGAUCGAAAGAGUUGGUAUCAGGGUUUAAUGAUUCGGUUUGCUGAUUACGAUAGGGGUGGCCGAAAUACCGAAAUUUCGGUCCAAAGUUUUGUGAACUUUUUAAUAAAUUUUGACUAAAUUUGAACAAAAUAUUACCAAAUUCACCAAAAAAUGAAAAAAAAAAUUUAAAAUUUCGGCCAAAAUUAUAUCGUAUCGGGGGGUCCGAUAGAACUGAACAUUUGGAUAUUUCGAUCCGAAAUUAACUGUGAACCCUGGUUGGUAUAUAAGAAUAUUCACACUCGCCAUAGAACUGGUUGCUACUUAAUAAAAAGUACGAUCUAUAUAUCAAGUACUGGAUAUAUAGCUUUAUAGUGUGGAAUCAAGAUAGUACAUGAUAGUAGGGCGAGCAUCUAUAUAUGCCUCUAUCAUGUGUGUGCAGUGCUAGCACAUGCCAUUUAUUAGUAGACUAUUUUUUUAAAUUAAGCUUCAAUGUGCUACCUAUUACACAUGUUGUGGUUACACACUGAGAAAGCCAUGCAUGACGGGAACAUUGCAAAUUUGCAAUAUCACUUCUAAGUGAGGAUUACACUGAGGAGUGUAUUUUUUGUUGAAUAGUCCCACAUUGAUUGUGGAAGAGCUAAGGACCUAAGAUAUAAGUGGGGAAGCCCCUCACCUCAAUGGUUAGCUUUUGGGGUGGGAAAGACCCUUUACGAUCCUAUAUUUUUGCUGCUCUUGCCGAGUGUUUUUGGCACUUGGGGAGAAUCUCCCAUAUCAGAGGUGUAGCUUGGGAGAGCCACAUAUAUAUGACAAUAUGCAAAUAGCUUUUGUGAAACUUUUGUCCAUCCAUGCAAAGAAUAUAUACGAGCUUAGCUACAUUUUGGGAGUAGGUGACAUCGAGAAUCAACAUGUGGCAAGGUGAUCCUCUGGUUCAACUUCUCCAUCGCGCAUGCAUACCUCUAACAUCUCAGAUUGUGGAGUUUAACGAGUACUCUAAGCUAGAGUUGUUAAUUGAUCUCUUUGCUAGUACUCUGUCCCAACUAUUAGACAUCUGGUUACAAAAUAAUCUUCAGUUUCGGCCAUGAUUACCUAGGCCCGCGCAUCCUUAUGUCUGGUUUGUCUUCAUCUCUGAAACAAGGGAUCGCAAAGGAGGAACAUCUAUCAGAUCAUGAAACAUGCAAGGAUCAUUUAGUGUGGUAAUUCCUGCUACCAGCACAGAACAUCACUUACACCGUUGAUUACAAAGGAUUCUUAAAGGGUAAAUAGGUAACAAAAAAUCACACAAUUAUAGAUAGUAGUAAUUGUUUCUGUUGAAUUGAAGGCCAGGUUUCAUCCAUUGUCUAAAAAAAUUUGUUUCUGAAUAAAAUCGUCAGACGCCAUAUUCCUUCAUAAGUAACUAGUUAAUUUGCGUUAUAACUCCUAAGAGAUGGCAAAGAUAUCUUCGAGUGUUCUUUAAUUAGUCUGCAGCACCUGCUUGUUUAUUUGGUCUUUCAAGUUAAUCACGAAUAUUUCUGGUUGACUUGCAGCGUCGUCAUCCGUUGUUCAUAUUCCCUAGUAAGCCAUUUUGACUUAUUAGGGAAUUAAAAAGUAAUUUGAGAAAACGGGAAACCAAACAGAAUCGAUCAUGAAAUAGAUAUACGGUUUAAUUUGAGAGAUUUUUCUUGGCUUCGUAUAAUGUGUAAGGACUAAAUUAUAAGCGCUCAGCUCAAGUUCUGUUGCAACUAACAAGCUACUUGAUGAAAGUUGCUGACAAUAUGCUUGUGAAUAAGUGUGUUGCCAACCAUGCAUAUAAUAAAUACUCCAUCCUUUUCCUCCCUAAAUGUUUGACGCCGUUGAUUUUUUUAAACAUGUUUGACCAUUCAUCUUAUUCAAAAACUUUUAUGAAAUGUGUAAAACUAUAUAUAUAAAUAAAAGUAUAUUUAACAAUAAAUUAAAUGAUAGGAAAAGAAUUAAUAAUUACUUAAAUUUUUUGAAUAAAACGAACAGUCAAAUAUUUUUCAAAAAGUUAAUGGCAUCAAACAUUUUGGGAUGGAGGGAGUACAAAAGUUCAGUACAUUUACUAACCAUCUACUAGUAAAUAAAAUCAAGCAAGCAGAACAAAUUACAGAGCCUUCCUUGGAUCUCUGCUCUGAUUGAGAUAUCAAGGUUCAUAUGAACCUGCUGUCUGUUUCAAUAUAGUGAAAACAUAAUAAUGACCUUCCGAAAAUUGCGUACAUAUGUAAGAUGUUAAAUUAAGGUCGUCUCUGAAAGCUAAAAUCACUACUCUUGGUGACAAAAUUCAGAUCAUGGAAAUUGGGCUCUGCACCGUAUACAAAGUUGCAGACUUUUGAAGUACUAAAUCAACCUAAUCUACUGUACUAUUUCUGUUGGGACAAAGUCCAACUAGCAUAUUCAAUGUGUGUUCUGUAUUCCAUGUGCUCUAGAUGAGCGAAGUUUACAUAUUUAUACAACGGUUAUCGAAGGGGAAGUUACAAUGCUGUCGUUGUUCUUUUUAAGCAAAACCGAAGUGACUGACAUGCGGGACAGUCCUUGGGUGUCCUUGUCAUUUCCUCGGUGACAAGGUUGGGCUGCGCCCACCCAGAAAACUGGGCCGGCUCCCCAGGUCCCUAGCCAUUGGCCCGGCUGCAGCCUGCGCCUCGGUCUGUAGACCGUGACACCUGCCCAGCCUUGUCUGUCGAGCCGGGUUGUUAGAGGUGGUUGGCGAGUGUGUAGUGUGUAUUUAUUGCCCUCCACUACUCUUCUGGGUCCAUUUCCAACCUCGGUUCCUAAAGUCCUCCACAUGCUUUGCUGCCCUUACUGGCUCCGAAGGCAGCGGCUCGCCCCAAGAGUCAUGGUUGGCUCCGAAGGUCCUGCACGGCUCCGAAGGCCUCGGAUGACUCCAAAGGCCUCGGGCAGCCCCGAAGGCCUUGGACGGCCCCGAAGGCCUUGGACGGCUCCGAAAGCCUUGGCUGGCUCUGGAGGCCAUGGUCCCCUCCGCAGGCCUUGGUGAGCUCCGAAGGCCUUGAUUGGCUCCGGGGGCAUUAAGCCCCUCCGGAGGCCAUGGUCUUCUUCGGAGGCCUCGGCUAACUCUGGAGGUCGUGACAACCUUCAUACUUCCAGCUACCUCCGGUAUCCAGGUACCAUGAUACCCGGAGCCUUGCUUGAGUUCGGUCGCCCUCCCGGGGGGAGGGGGCUCUGGAACUCGUGGUUACCGACGGAGGCUUGCUCCAAUAAUCCGGAGCCAUUCCCCUAACAAUUUUGUAUGCAUAUUAUACAAUCUUUAAAGACCCGCAUUAAAGUUGCUAACUGAAAAUGCCACUAGUAUCGCACUAGUUAGCUAGAAGUUUUUUUUCUACUUAAAAAGAAAAAAAGCAAUGCAGUCAAUCAAAGUCAAUUGUCCUUUGCCCAUGACUCCAUGAGAUAUAUAUAUAUAUAUACACACACACACACACUCUCUUGCAGCCUAGUGACCAUUGAAAGGUGCUGGGAAAUUCAGAACAAGAUUGUACUCUCUCCGUCCCAAGAAAAGCCUAAUCCUGGAUUUGAAUCUAGACACAUAUGUAGCUAGAAACAUAAUGCAUGCAUCCAGUUUGUGCAAGGGAAAGAAAAUAGCAGCAUACAUAUAGUGGUUUCUUGAAGAGCAUACACAUUGAUAUGAGAACAACUCUAGCAACUAGCUUAACAGUAUAUACAUCUCUCUCCAGAUAUCCAAAGUUCUAAUAUAUCAAUUAAUCGAUCCGGUUGUCGAAAUGAGAGGCAUCAGGACUUAGCAAUGUACGACCACAUCAUCCGACUGUGCAAUACAUGCCAAUCCAUCCCUUGCGGGAUUCGUUUACACGCCGCCUCCAUAGAUCACAUGCCUGCAGGGCAACAUCUUCCGGCCAUUCUUCAGUACGUUUCAUCAUCAAGAAUUAAAUUAACUUGCUGCAACGGUCUGGGAAUUCCUUCAACUCAGACAAAAGCGUCCUUAGCUCACACCAAGUUUACGUGUAUGUUGAUGUCUAUUUUGUGCGUUUUGUAUUUUUCGGGGCAUUUGUAAAUUGUAAAUUUGCCGCUGGUUUUUUUUUCAGUUUUGCAAGAAUGCCACUCGAAAGAUAGUUCUAGUGGCAUUUUUGCAAUUUUCUAGUUGCAAUUUUGCAAUAACGAUUCAAACCAGUAGCAAAUUCACAACUGUACCGUCUUUUGUGCAUAAGCAUGCACACAUUUUUUGUGUAUUACUGUUAUGAACGAGCCCAUUGAGGUCACAAUACGCCCAAGGAUGGUUCGCUUGUAUGUGAGCACUCUAAUCCCCUCCAAUCCGCCGAGCUCCCUGCCAACCACCACCACAAGCGCCAUUGCCGCUGCUCUAACUUGCUGAGCUCCCACCGACCGCCGCCGCAUCCACGCCCUCCCUCCCUCGCCGCCCAGCAGUAGCGGCUUCCAAUAAAUCUGGUGCACCUGGCAGAUUUCGGAGCGGCUUUCCUUAGCCUCCGCUAUCGAGCUUACCCGAGGCUCCCAGCGGUCCACAGCCUCUGUGCCAUCGUUGUCGUAGGCGUCAUCGUUGCGGUGAGCGUCGUUAUCCUGUUCCACCCACCUGGCGGAGUUUGGAGUGGCUCUCCUCAGCCCCCGUCACCGCACUGACCCGAGGGUCCCGAUGGUCCAUAGCCUCCGUGUCAUCGUCGUUGCGGGCACUGUCAUCGCGAGCGGUCGUCAUCAUCGCGUAACACCCGCCGGGCGAAGCUCGGAGUGGCUCUCCUCAUCCUCCACCCGAGGCUUUCGACAAUCCUUGGCCUCCACGCCAUCGUCGUGGCGGGCGUCAUCGUUGCGUUCUCCCGCCUACUACUCCCGGUGCUUCCUUGCCUGGCUUGCCGUGCAUGAGCUGUGUCGACGUCGAGAUGGGGUGUGAAAAAGAUGAAUGCUAGAGAGAGGGGGGCAGGGAGAUUGGCUAUGUGGGGCCCACCAUUGGCCAGCCAAAUAGCGUGACCAAUUUUAGCUUGUGAGGAGAAGGAUUUGCCCAGCCAAAUAGUUUGGCAAGUAGGUUGGAGAUGCUAUUGGAGCACAUUUUAAAUAGAAUUUUAAAAAAUUAGCUUGGAGAGCCCAAUUGGAGAGGUUUGUUGGAGAUGCUCUUAGCUGCCGUGUCUCUGUAUAGGUGUUUAGCUUGGGUUUAAUGAUCGUCUUGGUUGCGACGAGGGAAGCACCUGUAGGCUGGCUGUUGUGGCCAGUGUUACAACUUUGCUUCGUAUUGCUGGUAACUGCUCUUGUUUGGAUGAUCAACCUUUAAGGCUUUAACUAUUCCAGAGGUGCAAUAUGGCUUCUUAAUAAUGCCAUGCACCGUUAAUUAGAAACACAUUGUUACUGUUCUAUGUAUAUGUGAGUGAUUAUUAAUUGUUACUCCCUCCGUUUCACAAUGUAAGUCAUUCUAGCAUUUUCCACAUUCAUAUUGAUGUUAAUGAAUCUAGACUUAUAUAUAUGCCUAGAUUCAUUAGCAUCUAUAUGAAUGUGGACAAUGCUAGAAUGACAUACAUUGUGAAACGGAGGAAGUACCUGAUUGCUUGAAGUCUUUUCUCUUUUUUUUUAGAAAAUACAAUGCUUGAUGUCCGAUUUUGGGAGGUUUUCCUUACGCACCAACUGUUCCUCGUGAUGAGUUCCGGGAAUGCUUCUCGCCGAACGUCCGAUCCCAUUUGAGAUCAGACGCUAAGCUCAGCAAGCCCUCCGGUAGCCUAGCUCCACAUCUGAAAGGAAAAGGAGAAAUAUUAGCUUUAAAUGAUUUUUUUUUGACUAUUUAGCCCUAUCCGUGAUCCAAGCUCGAGAGUUUUUAAGAUGUUUAAGGGACUUUUAAUAUAUUAUAGAAUAUAAUAGAAGGUUAUGGCCGGCUUGUGUAGAAGAUUUUGAUCGAAGGGGUUUCCUUGAAAUGUGGCUAUACAUGGCAUUCUUUGUCAGUUCUAAAAUGUGGUUGUGGUAAAUUUGGACCUUUCGUCUUAUAUUUAUCAAGAUUAGGGGUCUAAAUCUACAAUUUUAAAGAUUAGGUAGGGACCAGGUCCUCCAGGAUGAAAGCAUGCAUUGAAUAAGUUUUACUCUAGAGUAAAAGCUCUUCAACUAUCUUCCCUCCUAUGCUUGUCAAUCGACAGUUUUACAAAAGUUUCCUUUAUUUAUUAUUCCCCAAAAUUCAACUGUGGGUGUGUUUAGUUUACGCUAAAAUUGAAAGUUUGGUUAAAAUUGGAACGAUGUGACCGAAAAGUUAAAAGUUUGCAGAAAAAGUUUAGAACUAAACCAGACCUGUUUCAAGCUUAAAGGUAGGUUUUCGUCUGUUACUACCAUUACUUCCAAGUAUAUAUAUAGAUAUAUGUACCAGUAUGACAGAGUAACACCAAUCCAUGGCAAAGCAUGUGUUCUGCCUAUUACUCACUCAAUCCCAAUCUGAUUUUGGGAUUGGAAGUCACUGGGAAUCAUGGUGUCCACGGCCAUAGGCAAGCUCCAUAAUUAUAUGAUCAUGCGUGCAGGUCAUCGCGUUGCUGGUGCUCUUCAUAGUUUCUACACAGCCCUGGCAACUCUGCAAUCAGCAGCUAUCGUGUCACCUCUCGUCCUACCCUCUGCGGUGCGCCCGUUCUGAGCGAUGCGUACAUCACAUGGAAAUACACCAAGCGGCUAACUAGCAGUAGAGUGGUUUUGACUAGGCCAGUUAACAUCAUGUAUAUGAUGCAAGCUAGUGUGUUGUAUCUCAAGGAACUUUGCGAUAUUGCCUUCGGUGGCAUUGUGCGGAUCAGAUGAGUAGAAAGAACUUUCGAUAAUGAAAGAAAGGCAUUUUUAGCAGGUCCAAGGACAAAUGGGGUCUAGGUGUAUUGAACUUGUACAUUCAUAAUGUGGCUCUACUUCUUAAACAUUUGCAUAAAUUUUUAUACUGCACAGGAUUUGCCUUGGGUUAGGCUGAUUUGGGCUUCUUAUUAUAGAACUAAAGUUCCUUAUAUGGUUUUCAAUAAGGGAUCUUUUUGCUGGAGAGACAUAAUUCAGUUAGCUGAUAUGAUACAUUUAGAGCCAUUUCAUAAUGCACAUUGCAUUCAGGUUCUACAGUCUUAUCCUAGGAUGAUCUUUAGAAUGGUGAGAUUAAAAAGAUAAGAUACCCUGAUCUUUUUUUCCCAAGCUUCUGUGAGAUGGGAAUCUAUGGUUUUUUUCCUGAAUCUUAAGCUUGAAGACUGUUUUCACCUACCUUUGGAUGAUAGGGCCUAUGAUCAAUUUUUGCAGUUGCAAUCUGAUUUAGGCUCUCUUUCUCUUAGUCCAGGGAAGGAGGAUUCCUGGUCCUUCAUUUGGAAUUUACAUAUUUACUCUGCUCAAAAGUUUUACAAGGCUAAUUUUGCUGGAAUUAAUGUUCCAGAGCCUUUUAUAUGGAUCUGGAAAACAAAAUGUGUGAAGAAAAUUAAAGUUUUCAUGUGGUUGCUUAUACGGGACAGACUGAAUACAAGGGUACAAGGGACAGGAGAGAGAGGUUGGGCUUGCAAUAAGAGUAAGGAUAAUAAUGGAUUAUAAUUCAACUAUAAGUUUAUAAUCAAAAGAGAUUAAAACAAGAGGAGUGUUGGCUAUCAUACAAAAGUUAGCUAUACAUGCUUGCUCCAAGACAUUUACAAAUCUAUAAUGAGAGAAAAAGAUAGUAGACAAAAAAAAUAUAGAGCCAAUCUUAUAUUUAAUCUCUUAUAAUUGUGAGCUUUAAUAUGAGCUAAUAGCCAAUGGAGUACUUAGUUAGCUAUACUUAUACUCCCUCCGUCCCUAAAUGUUUGACGCCGUUGACUUUUUUAAACAUGUUUGACCGUUCGUCUUAUUCAAAAAUUUAAGUAAUUAUUAAUUUUUUCCUAUAAUUUGAUUCAUUGUUAAAUAUACUUUUAUGUAUACAUAUUUUUACGUAUUUCACAAAAGUUUUUGAAUAAGACGAACGGUCAAACAUGUUUUAAGAAGUUAACAGCGUCAAACAUUUAGGGACGGAGGGAGUAUUAAAUUUGCAAAAAAAAUCACGGGACAAAUGGAUUCAAAUUUCCUAUCUUUUGAUGUCUUUAUUCAGAACAGUCGUAAUACAAUUAUACAAACCGUAUCUAUAGAUUUUACUCCCUCCCCUUUUAUAUGACGUUCAACGUAGAAAAGAAAAACAGAGAGAGUAAUUCCAACUAUGGAUGAGAUAAUAGUAUCGUGCUAAGAUCAGUUUGAGUAGUACUAGGCGUCUUCUUCUUCUUCUGGGAAUUAGCAGGUUUAUUGUUCCUGGGCAUCAAGCAGCAGAAUGACAGAAGAAGGAAUGCCGUGGCGAUUCCAAUGCCCAAAGCAGCAUGCCACCAUUCUUCACAGGUGGCCAUCAUAUAAAACACGUAGAAAACGUAGUAAAGGAAGAGCAUCAUCAAUCCCAUGGCCUGCAUGCACGCACCAAAAACACACACUCCCAAGAUUAGCAAGCACGCAUUAAUUAAUUAUUAUUUGUGGCCCAUUCCAUAUGGAUAAAGUAUAUACAGAUGAAGGCUAGUAAUAGAUAAACCCCUUGCUUAUACAGAGAUAAAUUAAAUAUUAUUACAUAAUAUAAACAUAACCAGGUGGUCUUAGGUUAUGUUUGUUUGUGUGGGUUGGGAACCUUUUUCUCUCGGCACGUAAAACAAAGUAGUAGAUUAGCAUAUAAUUAAUAAAGUAGUAGCUUAAAAAAAUUUAAAUAGAUUAAUGUAAUAUUUUAAAACAACUAUCAUUUUUUUUAAAAAAAAAGCAUAUUGUUUAGCAAUAUAGGAAGCGUACACGCAGAAAACGAAGAAGUAGAAGUUAGAAAAGUGUAGCGGAGAACACAACUUUCUCGUCUUUCCCAACUUCUAUCUCUCAUUUUAUGUACGUACGUUUUCCGAAUUAUUAAAUGGUGUUUUAAAAAAAUCUAUAGAAAGUUGUUUUAAAAAUCAUAUUAAUAUAUAAUUUUAAAAGCUUUUUAAGCUAUUACUUAAAUAAUCAUGUGUUAAUUUAUCGCUCCUUUUUCUGUAUCGAGUUUGUAGGUUCCCAACCAUUAUCUUAGGUGUGGAAUGCAUAAUCAUCAGUGCGGUUUUCAUAUAUUAGAUAACUUGACUUUUUAGCUUUGCAAUACUAGUAUUUAACGAACAAUAUGUUUUUCCAAAGAAGAUAUUUUCAAAAUUGUUGAGGGCUAAAGUUUCGAAAGUUUAAUUGCAUAAAGUAUCAUCACAUAAUUAAGGUAUUUUAAAAGUUCAAAAGAAAUAUAUAAUUGCCAGAAAUAAUAUAUUCUAUAAGGACAAAGGUACUCCAUCCGGCUCAGAAUAUUGAAACUUAGGAUCGGAUGGAACGUAUGUAGGAUACAUCUCAUCCUUACCAUGGAUAUUCUGGGAGAGAGGAAGCAGUAAACAAGAUAUUAGGGUGAAAACAAAACCAAAGAAAAAUUAACUAAAUCAAAUGUACUCACGGAUUGUGCAUCUGCGGAGUCGUCGUCAUCAUCGUCGUCGUCGUUUUUCUUCUUCUUUUUAUUUUUUCUCAUCGAGGUGCCUUCAUGGACAUGAGCGUUGAGACCUUUCUCGAGAUCGAGGAUGUCGUCUGCGUUGGGAUUCUCUAGAUCGUCAAUGUUGUUGUUGAGAUUGGGAGUCGCCAUGCAUCUAUACCUAUCUAAGCGGCGUCCUCUCCUCACGUACGUAUUACUACUAGCUAACGCAUAAUCUCGUUUGUUUUAUAAUCAAUCUCGAUCAUCGUCCGACUUCGAAUAUGUUCCUACUCGGUCGUAAUUAACGGGAUCCAAAUAAAAGAAAAGAGUCGGUAUCGGAAUCGGGAACUUGCAGUACUGCACUACUGCUGGCUGCUGCGAUGUGCGCCUCCUCCUCCUCCUUCUUCCUCGCGUCGUCCUCCCUCUGCUGAAUCAGGGGUUCACGCAAGAAGAGAAGAGAAGUGGGUCACCGUUUUAUCCAUCGCAGGCGGCGGAGCGGAGCGGAGAUGCAGUUCGUCGCCGUCGGCGGUGGCGGAGGCGGAGCUCACGCCGAUCGCUCCGGCGACGCAGGCUUCCUUGGCCGGCGGCGGCGGAGGACUGGACAGGGAGAGCUGGGUGGUCGGCUCUCUUGCGGACCGGGCCAACUAUAUCUUGGGCCACAGUUGCAUUCUGUAAUGGAAAAGGUCCCUCCCUUAAAUUAAAUUAGGCCGAAGGAAUACGUUCAUCUAAGGUCCUUUUACUUGUCAAUGAAUCUAAUUUUCGUCCUUCAACCAAAAAAACAAAUAGAACGAGUCCCUCAACUAGGGUUGGCAGUUGGGGACGACGGGGUAGUAAUUACCCAUGCCUAUACCCGCGAGGUAAUUCAUACCCAUUACUACAUGAGGGGCAAGGAACACUGCCCAUACCCGUCGCCCGCGGGCGCCAUGUGCCAUCCUCUUAGCCUCGUGCCGUCCUCCCCACCGGCAGCCGGCUCUAUCCCGCCGUCGUCGCCAACCUCCCCGCCUCGCGCCACAUCCGAUGGUGUUGGCACCAUUGCCUUCUUUACCGACACCGGCAUCAUCUCUGCCACCGCAGCCAACUUCACCUUCGUCAUCGCCGCUGGUGGCCGAUGGCGCGCUGAUCGCCCCUCUCUCUCCCUCUCUCUUUCAAAGCUCUAGCCGAUGGCGAAGAAGAAGAGGGCCGGCGGUGAGGGGAAAGGGGAGGAAGCGGAGCUCGUCGUCACAGAGGGGCGGUGGUAGCGGGAACGCGUUGGCAUUGGAGGUGAACUCUGAGAUGUCAUCCUACGCCGACAUGCUCUGCUCCGUCGUUGCAGCCGUCAUCCGCAUCCAGAUCCGGUCGGCCUCUUCCCCAACUCAUCAGCGCACGGGGCCCGUCCCUCUCCCUCUGCCAUCCCCAGGUCAUCACCGUUGCAGAUCCACCGACUCCACCACCA